AAGAAGAAGAAAUAGUUGAUAAAAAAGAGAAAAGGGUUACAGAGUGAAGAGAUUGAGAAAGCUUUGGAUUUUGGAAUUCAGUGAUCCCCAAAACGAAAUAAGUAAAAGGCUUUCUGGCAAGAGGGAGAGACGGAGAGAAGGAAAAUGAAAAAAUGGGAAACAGCAGUGAGUAUUGGGUGAUAAAUCGACGAGGAAACGGUUGUUUUGGUGAAAGGAGAAAGGAGAGCAGCAAGCCAACUUCAGAAUAGCAGAACAGCAGAAUUGCAGAUUCCUGAAUGUGAAAAUAGUUUGGUUAGAAGGAAAGGGUGUUUUAUUAAUAAUAGGAAAACAAGUGAUGGCACGCAUGGAAUCUUCUGAGUUCUUGCUUUAUGGACUUUCGCCACCUAACCUCCAUUACUCACCAUCAUCAUACUAUUAUUAUAUUCACAGAAUUUUUAAAAAAUAUAACAAUUAAAACUUCCAUUUCUAAAUUUACGGUAUCUCAUGAUAACUCAAAUAAAAAAUUGCAUUCAAUUUAAGCAUCAUAUUUUGAUGUUAUAUUUUUCAGAUAUAACUUUAAAUUUUAAAAUUUAUACCAAAAUUGUUUUUUUCAAAAAUAAUUAAUAUGUACCUAUAAUUAAGAAGACUUCACUAUAUUUAUAAUCUCAAAAACUUUAUGGAAUAUUAUAAUAUCACUCUAUUAAAAUUAUUUAUUUAUUUGAAAAAAAAAUUAUUCAUUAUAAAUCUCAAAUUAAUAAUUAUUAUUUUUUAAUAUUUUUAUUUAAAAGGUUGUGAAAAUAUUAAAAUCCUUUGUUUCCAUGGAUGUUGGAUUAUGAAUCACCUAUUGUGCCAACUAAAUUAUUUUUAUUUAUCAUUUAUUGGGAUUUAAUCUCAUUAUUAUGUACCAUCAUAUUAUGAAAUUUUAAACCCUUUUAUUUAUAGUAAAAGAAAAUAAAAAAUAAAAAAUAAAAAAUGAGCAUGAAUAUUAGUUCACAUUAUAAAAUUUUAUAAUUAGAAGGGUCCAUUAAAAAAGAAAGUCAUACAUUUUUAUUUAUAUUUUAUUAUUUUUAUAAUUUUAUGAUUUUGAUAUUUGAUUUUAUGUAAAUAGUGAAUAAAGUUAUGUAUUAUUGAAAUAAAUAAAGAGAAUUCAGUCUUGGGUUAACACCUUGGAGGCAGCAAUGAAAUAAGGCCCUCACAUGAAAUGAGAAAAAUUAGAAAUUAAUCAAAAAAAAAAACCUAUUUGAAAACCCACACAUUAAAAACAAUUGAAAAUUUUAUAAAAAUAAUAAUCUUCGAGAAAUUUGAAAACAACAAUAAUUAAGUGUAUUUUCAUCAAAUUUCUAUAAUAUUAAUGAAAUUAACCUUUAAAAUACUUUUAAUCAUUUACUUUUAAAAAAUAGUUAAUUUUUUUCACACCUCUAGGUUUAGUAUAUCAUUAGUUUCAAAUUUAUCAUUUCAUCAUAUAACACCGUUAUAGAUAUAUUUUAUUUAUAAAAUUUAAUUUUUUUUAAAAAAAGAAUUAUGUUUUUUAGAAAAUUAUAAAAUAUACUUAUUUCAUAAAUCAUUUUUGAAAAAUAAAUUUUAUAAAAAUAAUAAUUUAAUAAUGGUGCUAAGGGAUGAAACUUGGAUUCAACAUUGAUUAAGUGUAGUUUUAUUAAAUUUCAGUAAUAUAAAUGGAAUUAUCCCUUUAAAAAUUAAAAAACCCCUUGAAGAUUCACACUUCGGGUUGAAAAUUGGAAGUUUCAUAAACAAUCGUGAAAAAUGUAAGAGUGAAAACAACCUAUUAAAGAAAAAGAAAGUUCCAAAAAAGGGUUUGUAAACCAACAACUUGAAAAAGGAUUAUUUCAUUAAAGGAAUGAAAUAAUUAUUGAUUUAUAAAAUCUCACCUUCUACGUCUUUUGGGCUUAAAAAUAUUCAUUUUUAAUAAAAAUAUGUUUUAAUUUAAAAAAAAAAAUUUUUGUAAAAUUUAUAAAUUUUAAUUUUUAUAAAUUUUAUAAAAAUAAUAAUUACUUUUUUUUUAUGGAAAUUAAAAGAGAGUGAUUACAGGUGAAGAAUGAGAAAUAGUUGAUAAAAAAAAAAAUUGAGAAAAAGGAUUACAGAGGGAAGAGAUUGAGAAAGCUUUGGAUCAUGGAUUUUACUUCUUGGAAGCAAAUGGAAAAGAAGCAGAGUAUAAGUUGAGGUCUUGAGGGGAAAAAGAGGAAGAGAGCAGGAAGGGAAUUAGAUACUGAGUAUUUUAGUCAUCUCAUGUAUCAUCUACAAUCAUUUUUAAAUAUGGAGGUUUAACAAAUAAAAUUAUUAUUUAAAUUAAUAAAAAUAAAUAUUAAUUAAAAUUAAUAAAGGUAAAUACCUCAAUUUGAUUAUAUAAAAUAAAUUUUAACUUUGUGGAGCAAUAUUAAUACGUAAAGUAAAAACUAAAGUAAUUUAAUUAUUAUGUUUACAGUUAUUAAAAAGAAUUUCUACUUGUCAAUUAAAAUUAAAUAAUAAAAAAUUCUCAUUCCAAUUGUAUGCAUAUUCAAUCAAGACUUUUGUGGUAUUCAAGAAUGGAGAACUAGUUGCUUUAUUGAUUCUUAUCAACAAUUCUUUUCAAGGAAUUUGGACCGCUUAUUCAAGUGGUCCCCAUGGAUGCUUCACUUUACAGCUAAUGAUGUGAAUAAUGGGACUUAAAAUAAAGUGAAGCAUAAAUGAUGGCUCUCAAAAUAAUUUGAACAUCAAAUAUCUAUAAAAGGUUUGGCCUAUUUUCAUUGAUUUUCAAUUGAUUUUUAGAUGAGAUAGUCAAAGUUCUAUACAAAAAUUGGUAUGGAUUUACGUGUGUAUUUUCUAAAAUUCUUGUUCUAGGGGGGAAAAAUAACCAUAUUUUCCGCAUCCAAUCUUUGUCUUAGGAUUCUUGCAACCGUUAUAAAAAAUGAAAGCGAAAAAGAAAGAGGAAAAGAUGAAAAAGGAUUAAUUUAUAUAUAUACACAUAUACCCAAAGUGCUUAUUUAUUCCUUUUUCGCUUUUCGUUUUUGCAUGCCUUCUUCUUCUUUAGCUGCAAGUGCUUUUCAGACACCGCAAUCUAUGCUUAAAAUCAUAAACAAGAGAAUUAUGAAACGAUCUCAUUCCCAUGUGAGUUUGGUAAUGAGUCGAUUCUCCAUUAUUCACAUCAUUAGCUGGACCGCUUUACCUGGACCAUCAUUCACAUCAUUAGCUGUAGAUGCAAGUGGUCCAGGUAAAGUGAAGCAUAAAUGGGGACCACUUGAAUAAUGGGUCCAAAUUCCUUGAAAAGAAUUGUUGAUAAGAAUCAAUAAUGCAGCCACCUAUCCAUUCUUGAAGACGACAAAAGUCUUAAUUGAAUAUGCAUACAAUUGGAAUGAGAAUUUUUUAUUAUUUAAUUUUAAUUGACAAUAGAAAUUCUUUUUAAUAAUUGUAAGCAUAAUAAUUAAAUUAUUUUAGUAUUUUGGAGAUGGGGUUGGAAUUGUGUUCCUUCAUUCUCUCACUUUCUCUCUCCCUCUCGGUAAUCCCCCAAACCCAAUUUAGGGGUAAAAUCGAAAUUUAGAAAUUAAUAAUUAGUUAAAGUAAUUUAAUAAGGGUAAAAAUGUCUUUUCGUAUUUAAAAUCCCUAUAUAUAAAUUAGAUUUUUCUUAUCUUCUCUAUUCAGAAAACCCUUUUACACAGAGAUAAAAAAGAUCAGAGAGCAUAAGGCUGAAGAUUUGUAGGUUUAGGGUUUGAAGAUCAAUUUUUCAGGUAAGAUUUUAAUCCUUAAAUUAAUAUUUUAUAUUCGUUAAUUAGUUUUAAAAACUUUAGAUAUUCUUUGGAAGAUCUCAAUCUAGAUUAGGGUUUGUUAAAUUAAUUUUUAGAUCAAAAGACUGGAAAUUUAUGAAUGUGAAUUAAUUUGUGAUGAAAAUAGGAAAAUUUAGAAAUUUUCUAUUAAAUAGAAAACGAGAUCAAUGAAAAAUCAAUGGAAGAAAAGAAAUUUUAGAUUUAGAAAAUAAAUAAAUAAAUUGUUUGUGUAGGCUUUACAUUUGAAAAAAAAUAAAUUGGAGUACGCAUGUGACUUAGGCAUUGGAAAAGAUUGUAUAUGUAAAUAUAUUUUUAUAAUAAUAAAUAAUGAGAAGAAACAUGAGGCUUAUUGUUUUAUUCUUAGGGCUUUGUGCGUAUAAUGAAGAUAGGAGGGUAAUGGAUUGGUUAUAUAUUGAAUUUGAAAAUUAAUAAAAAUUAUAAUAUUUAGUUUUAAGCUAACAAAGGAAAUAUUAAUAAUAAUAAUAGUUUCCUAUAUAGGUUUUAAUUUAAGUUAAGUAUAUAAAGAAAUAAAUAGUGAGGGUAAGAUUAAGAAAGAAAAUGAAUUUUAUAAUAAUUUGAAAACUCACUAAAUUAAUUUAUUAUUGUUUAGUAAGUUGAAAAAUAAUAUUGGGUAGUAAUAAUAUUAACAUAAGAAAUUAAUUAGGAUCCUAAUACUAAAUAAAAUAUUUUUAGGAUUUUCAAAUUUAUAUGUUUGGAUAAAUAAUCAAUAAUCAAUAAUCAAUAUUGUGUAUGAUAUUAUGUUAGGUGAGGAGGAAAUUCUUCAGAGUUAAAUACUUUAAGAUUUUGAGUGCUUUUUCAAGGUAAGGGAAACUCACUAAAUUAAUUUAUUAUUGUUUAGUAAGUUGAAAAAUAAUAUUGGGUAGUAAUAAUAUUAACAUGAGAAAUUAAUUAGGAUCCCUAAUACUAAAUAAAUUAUUUUUAGGAUUUUCAAAUUUAUAUGUUUAGAUAAAUAAUCAAUAAUCAAUAUUGUGUAUGAUAUUAUGUUAGGUGAUGAGGAAAUUCUUCAGAAUUAAAUACUUCAAGAUUUUGAGUGCUUUUUCAAGGUAAGGGAAAUUAAUGCAGAUUUUUAUAAAAGAAAAUAAUUUUUUUUUUAUGUUGUAUUUUGAAAUGUGUAAAAAUAUUAUUUUUAUCUUUUCGCAUGGAUCAAAUAUGUGUUUUGUAUGGAAAGCAUAUUUGAGAAUUUUCUUUGUUUAUGAAAAGAGAAAAAUUGAGGAGAUAUGAUAUUUUGUUUUGUAAGUUUGAAUUAAUGAAAUAAAGUGUUUGACUCUAGAUUAUAUGGCCUUAGUCAACGGAUUAUAAUAGUUGACAUUAUGGCCCUAGUCAACGGGCUAUAAUUGUUGACAUUUGUAUGACUCUAAUCAACGGGUUAAAUAGUUGAUAUUAUAUGGCCCUAGUCAACGGGUUAUAAUAGUUGACUUUAUGACCCUAGUCAACGGGUUAUAAUUGUUGACAUUUGGCUUUGUUCACCUUAACUAGAACAAAUUUGAAACUAACCACUCAUUUAUGAAGUCCCACUUAAUUGGGCACCAUUUGUUAUUUGAUAACCAAAGUAAAUAUAUUUUGAAUGUAUUUGAUUUGGUUUUUAUGAGAAAUUGUUUUGAAAUGGAUAUGAGAAAGUUUUGUUGAAAAGUUUGAAUGUAUUAGUAUUUUGAACUCAAAACUUUUUAUGAAAAUAAAUAUAUGUUAUAUCUCCUAUUUGCAAGCACGACUGAAAAUGUUUGAUUCAUGAAAUUGUAUUGAUGUUCUUUAUUGAGCUUUAAGAUCAUGCCCUUUUGUUGUUAAUUUUUCAGGUACUUUCAGUUCGGGCGAGGAGUGAUGGCUAGGCUUGGGAAUUUUUCUUUGUUAGGAUUUUGGUUCAAACUUUAUUUUUGGACAUUGUUUAGAUGUUAAAAUUUAAUUCCCGUUUAAAUUAUUUGAAUUUGGAGUUAUUUGGACAAUAACAUUCUGAUUGAUGUGUUGGUUUUUUUUUUAAGUUGAUACUUGGAAAUUUUAGAAUUUUGUCCUACUACUUUGAACAUGAAUUUGGUAAUUGGUAAAUUUCUAGUUACAAUACAAAUAUUUGUGUUGUUUCCACUUUGAGCCUUUGGGUUUGGGGUGUGAAAUAACCAUUAUGCCAUUGGAGUGGAUUUUGGGGCGUGACACUGUAGACCCUCAAUUUUUUCCUCAUAGCACAUGUCUUAUUAGAUACUUAUUCGAUACUUUACAGUAACUCCUUGGUGGCCCAUAUCUACUCACAUUACUUACCUUUUCUUGAACCACCUCGGAGACUCUGAUUGAGGGAUUGCCCAACCCCUUAUUAUGACCUUGACAACUCUAAUUUAGACUUAGACACUUUCCUAAACGCCUUAGGCCCACUUAGACACUUCAUUGGGCUUAGUUUACUUAGGUCCACUUUAGCACUUUUUUUUUUUAAACCCACUUUUUAUAUGACUUGCAUGAUUGCAUGGCCUACAUGACUUGUAUGGCUUAUAUAGAUUUCUUUAUUAUUUUUAUUUUAUUUUAUUUUAUCUUAUUACAAGUUUUCUAAAUCAUAUUUCUUGGCUUUUUGGGCAUGAGGAAACGGGCCGCCACCUAUUUGGAAGGAGAACCAACAAAAUUUUGAAAAAGAGGAGAUUUUGUUUUUUUUUAGAAGGAUAGCACAUAUAUUAUUUCCAUGGGGGAAUCGGUCGUAAAAAGGAAGGCAUGCAUUACAUAAAAAAGGAAAGAGAAAAAAGGGAUUUUCCUCGAGCAGAUUUGGGGAGUUCUUUGGGGGAAGACUGAUAUAUAUACAUGAGAGAGGAAGAAAAAAUGAAUUUUUUGGAGGAUUCUUUGAUGGUCAAGGGCAGAGAGAGAGGUUGUCAAGGGAAGAGGAAGGAAGCAUGGAAAAGACCAGUGGGAAAAAUCUGAGAAUACAAAAACCAGUGGAGAUUUUCUCACCGAAAGGAAGUGUUUCCAGGUAUGUUUACUGUAGACCCCUUCUUGAUUCCGAUUAUCCUUUUGAUGUAUGAAUUUUUGUUGGAUUCUGAGUCUCGUUUGGAUGCUAGGGGGUAGAAUGACGGAGGUCAUAUGUUUGUCUACAUUAGUACUUGAUUGCUUCUAUAGAUGUUGUUGAUUUGUCUCUUUGGAGUUCUCUAAUUUUGAUUUAGGGGUGAAAAGUUCUAUUUUUUUAAUUUCCUAUGCAUUACAUGAGAACUAUGGCUAUACUUGUUUGCUGGAAUAUGCUCGUACCUCUCUCACCAUUCCAAGCCCAUUGACAAAGCAAUGGAAUGUUGGCUUGGUUUGGUUAUUCUUUUUUUUUUUCUUAUCUCUACUCUGUUUUCUAGAGCUCUUUCUCUUUGUGUUCGUUUCUUCUUUUCUUUUCUUUUUCUAGUUUCUUUUUUUUUUGGGUACCCUGUUUCCGUUAGGCAGUAAUUUCUGGAACUCUUGGAAUGGGAAGAAUUCUGUCCGGCCAACGUUCUACCUUCUCCGGAUAUCUCACAUCCGGAAUUCUGUCCGACCGACAUUCCACCUUCUCCGGAUAUCUCACAUCCGGAAUUCUGUCCUGCCGACAUUCCACCUUCUCUGGAUAUCUCACAUCCGGAAUUCUCUCCGCUGACAUUCCACCUUCUCCGGAUAUCUCACAUCCGGAAUUUUGUCCCGCCGACAUUGCACCUUCUCCGGAUAUCUCACAUCUGGAAUUAUGUCCGGCCAACGUUCUACCUUCUCCGGAUAUCUCACAUCCGGAAUUCUGUCCGGCUGACAUUCCACCUUCUCUGGAUAUCUCACAUCCGGAAUUCUGUCUGACCAACGUUCCACCUUCUCCGGAUAUCUCACAUCCAGAAUUCUGUCCGGCCAACAUUCCACCUUCUCCGGAUAUCUCACAUCCGGAAUUCUAUCCAGUCGACGUUCCACCUUCUCCGGAUAUCUCACAUCUGGAAUUCUGUCCAACCAACGUUCCACCUUCUCCGGAUAUCUCACAUUCGGAAUGUCCGACCAACGUUCCACCUUCUCCGGAUAUCUCGCAUCCGGAAUAUCCGACCGACGUUCAACCUUCUCCUCUAUUUGCUUCUUUGAUUGGGAAUUUAUUGUUUUUUUAAUUGAAUUUUUGAAUCAUUUUUCAACUAAAUAUUCUCAGCAUUGAAAAAUCCAUCUUUAAUAAUCCUUUGCUGCCAUUUUUCCUCUUGGCAUGCACUUCCACUAUUUUCUUUGACUUUCAACCAUUUUCUUGAUUUUCUUGAUUUUUCACAAGCAUGAACAAAAUUCAUGAUUCCAAAUAAUGGAAUUUAUAGAAUCAACUCAUGCAAAAUUAAUUAGGGCUUUGGAGGGGGGCCCGACAUUCAUGAUAUUUCCUCAAAUAUUUUUUGUUUGAUAUUCGAUUGAUUGUGCUUCAUUUUGUGGUAUAUAUGAGAUUAUUUUGGAUAUGUUAUUUGGCUAAUUUUGUUUCCCAUAAAGGAGUACUAGCUUGCUACCCAGGUAUGCUCUUCCUCACUUAUUUUCGAGAAUUAUGUGGGCACGUAUGCUAUUGGUGAUUAGAUCCAUACAUGAUGUGAUUCUUAGAUGUUCAGAUACAUGCUUGAUUUGCUUAGAUAAAACAAAUGUUGUAUCACAUCUUCAAACUAAUCUUUGAUGUCUUGUGAUAGCGCUUAAGAAGCAGUCCAAGUACGUACCCUAAAUCUUCUUCAAGAUUGUGAUUGGUUUUCCUAUUAAGCAUGCUUUUUUUCAAAAUCACCUAGCCUACUUAGAUAUCCAUGAUUAAUCGUUUAAUCGCUAUAUUUCCCUCAACUUAGUCAGUAGAGACCUUUUUAGGGCUUAGAGGGGUGCUACCUCCUAGAGGUACCUUUCCAAUAAGUAACCUGAUCCCCGGACUUAGACUCAGGUUUCCCAAAGACAUGCUUUUUUCCAAAACUAUGGAGUCACUUUUUAGGGUUUUUCUUUCUUGUUUUACUUUCCCUUUAAAAUAAAAAUAAAAUAGGUGGCGACUCCAACUUUUCUAAAAUUAAUUUUUCACAAAUAAAAAAGCGAGUUUUGCCGAUCAAGUGGGGACGCACGUGAAAAAUGCGGGACCACAAAUUGGCGACUCCACUGGGGAUUUUGAGGAUCAAGCUUGAACACUAGUUGAAGAAAAUGUGGCGUUUAAUUGGUCGAUUAGUGGGUACCCCUUUUUUUAGGAAAGGUGAUUUGAUUUGCUUGCUUGUUUGGUUUUCUAUCUUAACAUGUUUGAUUGCCUUGGAUAAUCACUUGAUUGUUUUGCUCACUUUAACAUGAUUCACUCUCACAUAUGUUAGAUAGGACUUUUGUUUGUUUGAUAUUUAUCUGCUUAGCAUGACUGUUUGUUGCGUUUGCCUUGAACGAUCACUUAACUGUUUGCUCACUUUAGCAUGAUUCACUCUCACAUAUGCUAGGUAGGACUUUGAUUGUUUGAUAUUUAUCUGCUUCGCAUGAUUGCUUGUUGCAUGACAACCCUUUCUCUUGCAUGUUUGUAUGAUUGCUUGUCUUUGUUCACUAUCUCACUUUAGAUCUUAGGUUUUUUGGAUGCACCCACAUCCUUCAUUGUGCACUUUAGAUUAUCCUUGAGUGUUGAGAGAUGGGAGAGCCUUCACCAUUAAGAAACCCCUUGGGAACGCGAGGAAGUGCAUGUGUGGAGGUGAUGACCACCUUGCAUGGAAGCACCCCGUCCCCUUAGAGGCGUGCAGAGGGUUGCGUACCGCUGGAGGGUACGAUCGCUUCUGCUAAGGAUCCUUUAAACCACCCAUUCCAACCUAUAGAGCCACCUCAACCUUGUAAGUUAACCUAGACCCGAUUAAGACUUCAUUCCUACACAUGGGUGCAUCUGUGGACCUUCAGAGCUGCCUUGGUCACGAUUGCGAUUGGUUAUCCCUUCCGUAGUCUCUUUUUGGUGUGAUCAGAGAUGGGUAUCAGAUUGAGUACAUUUAGGUUUUACUUCUACGCACUUGAUUCCUACAGAGUCACAUUCGUACCGUACCUUAUCCAGUGUUUCCAUAUUUGUCCAGAAGCGUUUACUUUGACCGAUCUGGAUUUGCCCUUGUGGAUUAGAGUUAGAGGUAGAUUAACCAGAGUAUCAGACCAGUCAGAUCAAAGAUCAGAUCAGAGGGAUAUGGACUCACAGAUAGUUACCGUUGACCAGUUUUCCACAGCCAUGGCUUCUAUCCAGGAGGCUAUAGCUAACCUUGGUCAGAGAAUAGAUGGACAGCAAACCCAACAGGUCCCAGUUCAGGAGAGUGCCCAGUUCGAUACCAUAGUACCGCCACCAUCUCUGCCUAGUCAGUCAGUACCACAGACUGUACCUUUCACUCUGCAUAGUCAGAUCGAGGUUGCCCCGCCUCCUGUCACAUCGCCUAUCCCGACUUCAGAGGACCCACACACACGUAUGGAUAGACUUGAGUAGAAGUUGAGACAGAUGAGGGCUUCAGACGGAGUUGUUACUUGGGAGGAUUUUGAUGGAGCACCAGUGGCUAGUUUGUCGGCCAAGUUCAGGAUGCCCGAGAUUGAGAGAUACACAGGCAUAGGCUGUCCUCGCAUCCAUUUGAGGCUCUAUAGUACAGUUAUAAGGGCCCACAGACUGGAUGAGGCCUAGAUGGUUAUGCUUUUCCUUAUGUCUCUGAGUGGUACGACACAACGUUGGUUCGAUUCAUUAGAUGUAUCACGCCGUAGGAUUUGGGAUGACUUGGCCCAGGAGUUUUUGAGACAGUUUGCAUUUAACACUGUCAUUGAUGUUUCGAGGAGAGAGAUUGAGGCAUUACAUGACAGAGUACUCAGUGCAUUUGAUAUCCCGCCUAGACCCAUUGAGAUACUUAUUUGAUAUACCUGCAUUGACUGGUAGACUGAUGAGAUGGCUCGUACUUUUGAUAGAGUUUGAUAUCCAGUAUGUUUCUUAGAAGUCUAUUAAGGAAAGUAUUAUCGCCGAUCACCUAGCCUCACUACCGACAUAUGAGGAUAGACUAGUUGAUGAUGAUUUUUCAGAUGAGGAGUUUGUUGCUAUGACCAGCUUAUCAGGAUGGUGCAUGUACUUUGAUGGUGCAGCCAAUCAGUUAGGGUAUGGGAUAGGUGUUCUGUUGGUUUCCCCUCAGGGUGAUCAUAUUCCGAGGUCCGUUCGUUUGGCAUUUUCUGAUCGACAUCCUGCCACGAAUAACAUAGUUGAGUAUGAGGCUUGUAUCCUUGGUUUAGAGACCGCAUUAGAGCUUGACAUUAGACAGAUGGAGGUAUUUGAUGAUUCCAAUCUGGUACUUAGACAGAUUCAGGGGGAUUGGAAGACUAGGGAUGUGAAGCUUAAGCCAUAUCACGCCUAUUUGGAGUUGCUGGUUGCGAGAUUUGAUGACUUGAGAUAUGUUCAUCUACCUAGAGCGUAGAACCGGUUUGCCUACACCUUAGCUACCCUAACUUCUUCUGUGGACAUUCCAAUUGAUGUAGUUAUACGUCCAUUGCUGAUUGAGUUGAGGUCUGCACCCGCCUACUGCUGUUUGAUUGGAGAAAUAGAGGUCCAGGAUGAUCUUCCUUGGUAUCAUGACAUUUAUCAGUUUCUUAGAUCUGGCACAUACCCUAAGGUAGCCACUUCCAAAGACCGGAGAGCACUGAGGAAUUUAGCCACUAGAUUUGUGAUUUGUGGAUAUACCUUGUACAGAAGAUCAGUUGAUGGUAUGCUUCUAUUAUGUUUAGAUCGAGCCUCUGCAGAUCGAGUGAUGAGAGAGGUUCAUGCAGGAGUUUGUGGUCCGCAUAUGGGAGGACACAUGCUAGCCUGUAAUAUUAUGAGGACGGGUUAUUUUUGGUUGACUAUGGAGACAGAUUGUUGUCAGUUUGUUCAGAAAUGCCCAAAGUGUCAGAUUCAUGGUGAUCUUAUUCAUGCACCGCCAUCAGAGUUACACGCUUUGACAUCGCCAUGGCCAUUUUCCGUAUGAGGUAUUGAUAUUAUUGGGAAGGUUUCACCAAAAUCUUCCAGUGGUCAUGAGUUCAUCCUAGUUGCCAUAGAUUAUUUCACCAAGUGGGUGGAAGCCGCAUCAUAUGCGAGGUUGACAUCUGCCAGGGUUGCCAGUUUCAUCAGGUCACACAUCAUUUGCCGUUAUGGGGUUCCCCAUGAGUUGAUUUCAGAUAGAGGGGUGCACUUCCAAGCUGAGGUAGAUACUUUGUUGCAGAAGUAUGACAUUCGACAUCAUAGAUCUUCAACAUAUAGGCCACAGACCAACGGGGCAGUAGAGGCUGCGAAUAAGAAUAUUAAGAGGAUUUUGAGGAAGAUGGUUGAAACUUCUCGAGAUUGGUCAGAGAAACUUCCUUUCGCAUUGUGGGCAUACCGUACCUCUUUCCGCACCUCUACAGGAGCUACACCUUACUCUUUAGUAUAUGGUAUGGAGGUUGUUUUGUCGGUUGAGACAGAGAUGGGUUCUCUGAGAGUAGCCCUUGAGCAACAGAUUUCUGAGACAGAGUGGGCUCAGGCUCGGUUUGACCAGCUUAACCUUUUAGAUGAGAAGAGACUGAGAGCAACUGAUCAUAUUCAGGCCUAUCAAAGGAAGAUGACUCGUGCCUUCAGGAAACGGGUUAAGCCUAGACCAUUACAAAAAGGGGAUUUAGUUUUGAGGAUUCUCAGAGGUUUGAUUGGAGACCCUAGAGGAAAGUUCAGACCUAGUUGGAGUAGGCCUUAUGUUAUUCGAGAGUUGACUCCAGAAGGGGCUGCAUGGUUGACUGAUUUAGAUGGAAACUAGUUUUCAAAGCCUACCAAUGUGGAUCAGCUGAAGAAGUAUUAUGUUUGAGAUUAUGGUCAUAGGAUGGGUGGCCAUCCUUUCGGUUAGCCUUACACCUUAUCACCUUUAUUGAUAUAUUAAACCAUUGCUAGCCCAUUGAGCCUCACGGGGUAUGUUAUAGCCUUAUUUUUUUCUUAUAGCCUUGAUUACCAUUUCUACACCCGGGUUGGGACCCUUUGGUGUAUAUGCAUGCUUUGCUAUGAAAGUCUCAUGAGCUUUAGACUUAUAGGCCUAUCUUCUCAUUCUCGUCAUCAUCUCCUAAUUACCCCGUUUGUUCUAUUUUACUAUCAUCACAUUUUCAUUGUCUCUCUUGUGUUUAUCAUUAUUUGCUUCAUCUUAUCUCUUCUAUUUCUUGGGUUGAUGAUUCUUCACAUCUUGGUGCAAAAGAGGGCAGUCAUAUCACUCCAUCCAUCCCCUCAUUUAGCAUUGAUUCGGAGAUUUUAGUUUGAGAGGUUGUCUCAUGGGUUGGGGUUCAUGUAUUCAUUAGUGGUCUGAGAGAGUGUGUUCAUUCCUUGUAUCUUUCCCAUUGGAGUUCAAUUUAUUGAUGAUCAGAGCAUGCGCAUCCAAAAAAUAAAAAUAAAAAAUAAAAAAAAAUCAAAAAAAAGAAAAAGAAAAAAAGAGAGAGAAAAAGCGCAAUGACAUGUUUGUGUAUGGUGUCUUGCUCCAUUGGGCAUUUAUAUCACCUUUUGAGGUUUAUUUACUGGGUAUAUUUGUCAUUGUGGGUUCUUGUGAGAUUUUUAUACGAGUUUUCACUCCUUGAGCCACUCUUGUUAUGCAUUUGGAGUGUUGAGGGUUCAUGUGAGAGUUCUAUGGUAUCCUAUGCUUAUCGGAUCAUGGUUGAUAUGUAUUAGGUAUGAGAGAUGAGUAAUCUUUUUACUAGGGUCUCCGGAUCAUUGUUUUAUCCAUCAUUCUAUCAUUGGUGACAUGGGUCAAUCAUCAUCUAUUCUACUUUCUCAUUGCCUUAUUUUGUAUCCCAUUACCUCUUUCCGGAUAUUCAUUCCACCUUUUAUCUAUUCCCUACAUAUUGAUAGACAUUUCUAAUUCGAUACCUUCUUCACAUUAUUCACAUGUUUCAUUGAUGGUUUGACCACCCAUCCUUUUUCUCAUUUCGCCAUUGACAUUUCCUUCGGUUACCUUUAGGUCCAUGGCUCAUGAGAUUUUUUCUAUGCAUUACAUCUUAUACACGAGGGUAUGGGUUUGAUCAUUGGGUAUUUGAGCCUAGUUUCCCUUCAUUUCUUUCACCCUAUCACCCUGGCCUACGUUACGUCUCGUGUCUUAAGACCACCCUGAGGCCAUGAGAUCAGGCGUUAUCUUUGAUAGUCUUCACUUGGACAGGCUUUUGUAGACUGGUUGAAGUAUAGUCGUUAUCAGGUUCUCUUUUAUGGAAAAUACUUUUGGAAGAAUUUGGUCUUUCUCUUGCUUGACAUAUUGAUGCUUGAUGGAUUCUUGAGUUUGGAGACAGUUCAUUGAUGAUAUCGGAUUCAUCCUUUUGUUGACAUCAGAUAUGCAUACUAGGGCAUAUUCCCCUUUCAUUCGGUUGAGAUGAGACCCUAGUGGAGCACUUUCUUUGAACCUGGGUAUUUUCAUCGAUCCGAGAUCCCUAGUAGAGUAUGUUGAUAUCAGCUCCAGUGAAGCAUUAUUGAGCUCAUUGACAGUUUUCAGGAUUCUAGGUUCCAUCUGCGGAGUAUUUUUGAGAUCGACUAGUGGAUCAUUUUUUAGUUGGAGGCAGUUUUCAGUGCAGUGUAUAGAUCUUGUACACUGGGGUAUAUUCCCCCAUUUGGAGGUCACUAGAUUCCCAUCAGAUUUAGUUAGGGAUUCAUCAGAGACGUGCUUCUACUCUCGAGAUUAUUAUAUUCCUCAUCAUUUUGAUUAUUCAUUUGAGAUCAGAUUUAGAGAGUCUUCCCUAGGGUAUUGGCUGAUACUUCAUUCUGAUUUCUUAGCAGAUUAUUGUUGAGUUGGAGACAGUUGAUUGAUGAUGUUGGAUUCAUCCUUUUUGUGCGUUAGAUAUCCACACUAGGGCAUAUUUCCCCUUUUAUCUGAGGUUUUCUAGUUGUUGUUGGAUGAUAUGACUAUUCAUAUCCAUGGUCAUAGAGUUGUUUGAUUGAUUUUGACUGAUUCUCUAUUGUACAUCAGUUAUCCAUACUGGGGCAUAUUCCCCUCUCCAUGAUGAGAUUAUGUUCGGGCAGCGGUAUAUAGAUGGAUGAUCGUUGUUGGUUGUUUAUCUCACGACUUCGACAUCAGAUAUCAUACUGGGGCAUAUUCCCCUCUCCUUUGCGAGAUUUGUUUGGGCAAUGGUGUGAGGAUGGAUCAUUAGUGUCGUUUGUCUACCUCAUGAUUUUGAUAUCGGAUCUUAUAUUGGGGCAUAUUUCCCCAUUUUCUUUGAGUAUCCUUAAGAUCGAGACAGUGGCCAGCUCGGUUUUAGAUUGAGAUUAAUUUGGAGCUUUCGGCGAUUGAUUAUAUCAGGACCUCCCUACAUGGAUUUAUCGAAAUAGAGAUGGAUCAUAUUGGCUUUCACCAGAGGAGCAUGAUUGGAUCCUUUAGCCAGAUGUUCAUGAGAUAGAUUGCUUUUGUCAUUAUUACCUUGCAGAUUGGGUUAUCCAGACGAGCGGUAUUUUGUGCACUUUGAGAUUUGCUUUUAGAUGAGCCAUGAUAUAUGCACUUUGAGAUUUAAUUUUUGAGAUUUGUCAACAGAGCAACUUUUCAGACACAGAGAGUUCUUUCAGUUUUGAAUUUUCAAAGGUUUUUCGUGAUGCAUCGGUUUCUGACCCAUUGAUUUCAGCGGAUGAUUGAUUUAUUGGUUGUUUCAGCAGUGUGAGCACCCUGGAUACUGGGGCAUAUUUCCCUUCUUGAGUUCAGUAGUCCGAACCUUGGCAUUUUAAGUAUACGAAUUUGAGCCCAUUUACUUCCUAUCCCCUUUCGAGUUGGUCUUCUUUAUCUGUUCCUUCUAGGCCUUGAGCCUCAUAGCCCUGAGUUAUCCACUCCUUUUAGACCCUGAGUCUUAUGGCCUUGAUUUAUCUGUUCCUUUUAGGCCGUGAGCCUCAUAGCCCUGAGUUAUCCAUUCUUUCUAGACCCUGAGUCUUAUAGCCCUGAGCUCUCUUUCUUCCCUUAGGUCCUAAGCCUGGUAGCCCUGAGUUAUCAUUUCCUAUAGACCCGGAGUCUUUCCAGCCCUGAGCUGAGCCUUCAUCAUUUGGUCGCCCAUGAGUGUUUUGACAGGGAGUUUGCGUAUCGCAUUCUCCUUUUAGUAAAUCAGUCAUAGAGCCCGGAGCUCAUAGCCCUGAGCUAUUCAUUGUAACCCCGAGUUACUCGUUGCAUCAUGACCCAGAGUCAUUUAUGUCAUCCAUAGCCCUGAGCUAUUCAUCGUAACUCCAAGUUGCUUAUUGCAUCAUGACCUAGAGUCAUUCAUUCCACCCAUAGCCUUGAGCUGUUCAUCAUAACCCUGAGUUACUCAUCGCAUCAUGACCCAGAGUCAUUCAUAGCAUCCCGAGCCCUGAGCUUACGACCCAGAGUCAUUUGCGUCCUUCACAUCCCUAAGACAUUUUGUUUUAUCAUUCUAGCCACUUGCAAGUGGCCUCGACCCGACACCAUGAGCUGGAAAACAUCCUGAUCGGCUACCAUUUAGAGCCUUGAGCUCAUGACCCAAAGUCAUUUAUCUUAUUUAUGACCCAGAGUCAUUCUUUCCAUUUAGAGCCCUGAGCCCGUGACCCGGAGUCAUUCACUUCAUCUAUGACCCAGAGUCAUUCUUAGCAUUUAUAGCCCUGAGCUCAUGACCCAGAGUCAUUUAUCCUAUUUACGACCCAAAGUCGUUCAUCCAAUUUCCGACCCAGAGUUGUUUGUCCUAUUUUUGACCCAGAGUCGUUCAUCUUGUCCAUGACCUAGAGUUAUUCAUCUCAUCCAUGACUUCGAGUCAUCAUUUUCAUCUUUUUCCAUCUUUGUGCUACUCGUUACAUACCUUUCUCUCUUCACUAUCAUUCCCCCACGUAGAGUUGUCCCUUCCUUGUCGUUGUAGCCCCAUGUUCUGAUCUUACUCUCGUCAUGUGCUAAGACAAAAUCUCUGGUCCUUCUUUAGUUCUUCAGUAUAGUUCACUUCAUUUGGCUCAUUACUCAUAUUUCUACUCACAUUCUCUACGCUCGUGAUCCAUACCGAAGAGGGGCAUAUUUGUAGACCUCAAUUUUGUCCUCCUAGCACAUGUCUUAUUAGAUACUUAUUCGAUACUUUACAGUAGCUCCUUGGUGGCCCAUAUCUACUCACAUUACUUACCUUUUCUUGAACCACCUCGAAGACUCUGAUUGAGGGAUUGCCCAACCCCUUAUUAUGACCUCGGCAACUCUAAUUUAGAAUUAGACACUUUCCUAAACGCCUUAGGCCCACUUAGACACUUCAUUGGGCUUAGUUCACUUAGGUCCACUUUAGCACUUUUUUUUUUAAAACCCACUUUUUAUAUGACUUGCAUGAUUGCAUGGCCUACAUGACUUGUGUGGCUUAUAUAGAUUUCUUUAUUAUUUUUAUUUUAUUUUAUUUUAUCUUAUUACAAGUUUUCUAAAUCAUAUUUCUUGGCUUUUUGGGCAUGAGGAAAUAGGUCGCCACCUAUUUGGAAGGAGAACCAACAAAAUUUUGAAAAAGAGGAGAUUUUGUUUUUUUUUAGAAGGAUAGCACAUAUAUUAUUUCCAUGGGGGAAUCGGUCGUAAAAAGGAAGGCAUGCAUUGCAUAAAAAGGAAAGAGAAAAAACGGAUUUUCCUCGAGCAGAUUUGGGGGGUUCUUUGGGGGAAGGUUGAUAUAUAUACGUGAGAGAGGAAGAAAAAAUGAAUUUUUUGGAGGAUUCUUUGAUGGUCAAGGGCAGAGAGAGAGGUUGUCAAGGGAAGAGGAAGGAAGCACAGAAAAGACCAAUGGGAAAAAUCUGAGAAUACAAAAACUAGUGGAGAUUUUCUCACCGAAAGGAAGUGUUUCCAGGUAUGUUUACUGUAGACCCCUUCUUGAUUCCGAUUAUCCUUUUGAUGUAUGAAUUUUCGUUGGAUUUUGAGUCUCGUUUGGAUGCUAGGGGGUAGAAUGACGGAGGUCAUAUGUUUGUCUACAUUAGUACUUGAUUGCUUCUAUAGAUGUUGUUGAUUUGUCUCUUUGGAGUUCUCUAAUUUUGAUUUAGGGGUGAAAAGUUCUAUUUUUUUAAUUUCCUAUGCAUUAAAUGAGAACUAUGGCUAUACUUGUUUGCUGGAAUCUGCUCGUACCUCUCUCACCAUUCCAAGCCCAUUGACAAAGCAAUGGAAUGUUGGCUUGGUUUGGUUAUUCUUUUUUUAUUUUUAUUUUUUUUCUUAUCUCUACUCUGUUUUCUAGAGCUCUUUCUCUUUGUGUUCGUUUCUUCUUUUCUUUUCUUUUUCUAGUUUCUUUUUUUUGGGGUACCCUGUCUCCGUUAGGCAGCAAUUUCUGAAACUCUUGGAAUGGGAAGAAUUCUGUCCGGCCAAUGUUCUACCUUCUCCGGAUAUCUCACAUCCGGAAUUCUGUCCGGCCAGCAUUCCACCUUCUCCGGAUAUCUCACAUCCGGAAUUCUGUCCCGCCGACAUUCCACCUUCUCCGGAUAUCUCACAUCCGGAAUUCUGUCCCGCCGACAUUCCACCUUCUCCGGAUAUCUCACAUCUGGAAUUAUGUCCAGCCCACGUUCUACCUUCUUCGGAUAUCUCACAUUCGGAAUUCUUUCCGGCCGACAUUCCACCUUCUCUGGAUAUCUCACAUCCGAAAUUCUGUCCGGCCAACAUUCCACCUUCUCCGGAUAUCUCACAUCCGGAAUUCUGUCCCGCCGACAUUCCACCUUCUCUGGAUAUCUCACAUCUGGAAUUCUGUCAAGCCAACGUUCUACCUUCUCCGGAUAUCUCACAUCCGGAAUUAUGUCCGGCCGACAUUCCACCUUCUCUGGAUAUCUCACAUCCGGAAUUAUGUCUGGCCAACAUUCCACCUUCUUCGGAUAUCUCACAUCCGGAAUUCUGUCCGGCCAACAUUGCACCUUCUCCGGAUAUCUCACAUCCGGAAUUCUGUCCCGUCGACAUUCCACCUUCUCCAGAUAUCUCACAUCUAGAAUUCUGUCCGCCGACAUUCCACCUUCUCCAGAUAUCUCACAUCUGGAAUUCUGUCCAGUCGACGUUCCACCUUCUCCGGAUAUCUCACAUCCGGAAUUCUGUCCAGCCAACGUUCCACCUUCUCUGGAUAUCUGACAUCCGGAAUGUCUGGCCAACGUUUCACCUUCUCCGGAUAUCUCGCAUCCGGAAUAUCCGAUCGACGUUCAACCUUCUCCUCUAUUUGCUUCUUUGAUUAGGAAUUUAUUGUUUUUUUAAUUGAAUUUGUGAAUCAUUUUUCAACUAAAUAUUCUCAGCAUUGAAAAAUCCAUCUUUAAUAAUCCUUUGCUACCAUUUUUCCUCUCGGCAUGCACUUUCACUAUUUUCUUUGACUUUCAACCAUUUUCUUGAUUUUCUUGAUUUUUCACAAGCAUGAACAAAAUUCAUGAUUCCAAAUAAUGGAAUUUAUAGAAUCAACUCAUGCAAAAUUAAUUAGGGCUUUGGAGGGGGGCCCGACAUUCAUGAUAUUUCCUCAAAUAUUUUUUGUUUGAUAUUCGAUUGAUUGUGCUUCAUUUUGUGGUAUAUAUGAGAUUAUUUUGGAUAUGUUAUUUGGCUAAUUUUGUUUCCCAUAAAGGAGUACUAGCUUGCUACCCAGGUAUGCUCUUCCUCACUUAUUUUCGAGAAUUAUGUGGGCACGUAUGCUAUUGGUGAUUAGAUCCAUACAUGAUGUGAUUCUUAGAUGUUCAGAUACAUGCUUGAUUUGCUUAGAUAAAACAAAUGUUGUAUCACAUCUUCAAACUAAUCUUUGAUGUCUUGUGAUAGCGCUUAAGAAGCAGUCCAGGUACGUACCCUAAAUCUUCUUCAAGAUUGUGAUUGGUUUUCCUAUUAAGCAUGCUAUUUUUCGAAAUCACCUAGCCUACUUAGAUAUCCAUGAUUAAUCGUUUAAUCGCUAUAUUUCCCUCAACUUAGUCAGUAGAGACCUUUUUAGGGCUUAGAGGGGUGCUACCUCCUAGAGGUACCUUCCCAAUAAGUAACCUAAUUCCCGGACUUAGAUUCAGGUUUCCCAAAGACAUGUUUUUUUCCAAAACCAUGGAGUCACUUUUUAGGGUUUUUCUUUCUUGUUUUAUUUUCCCUUUAAAAUAAAAAUAAAAUAGGCGGCGACUCCAACUUUUCUAAAAUUAAUUUUUCACAAAUAAAAAAGCAAGUCUUGCCGAUCGAGUGGGGACGCACGUGAAAAAUGCGGGUCCACAGACACUCUCAACAAUUUUUCAGCCCUUAUUCUAGUUUGGUUUCGUAGCUUAGAUGGUGGUAGAGGCUAUUUGUGAGACUGAGGACUACUUUUGCAUUAGCAAAAGCUUAUUAUAAGCCUUACAAAUCGCUCUAGUGUCCAUCAACUCACUACCAUUUGAGAAGCUUGAAGCGUAUUUUGGGAACUAUAUUUUAAAAUAGUUUGCUUAGUCUAAGAAACAUUAUUUUCCAAACUCAAAAUUACAUUUGAUAGAUUUUGAUAGAGAACAAUGUUCUAAAAAUAGUUUAUUUUAUGAUAAUAUAUUUAAUUUUUUUAUAAUUGUUUUUAAAAAUAAUUAUACAAAUAUAGAAAAUGAUUAAAAAUACUGUACUAUAGAUAAAAAUUAUUUUUUAAAAAAUAUUUAAAAAUACAAAAACAUAAGUUGAGAACAUUCCAAAACUUUUAGAAAGUAUCAAAAAAUUCAAAAAAUAUUUUUUAAGAAUUGUUUUUGAAAAUCUUGUAAGACAGGCAUUUGAGUGUUUGGUAAAAUUUAAAACUUAUUACUUAACAUAUUAAGUUGAUUUUAAAUUAAAUUAUUUUUAAGUUGUUAACUUAAAACUCAACGGUUAGUUUUCACUUUAUGUAUUAAGAUUGUUUGACAAAGUUAACUUAAAAUUUAUUUUACAUAAUCAAAUUAACAUAUUUACCUUUAUUAAUUUUAAUUAAUAUUCAUUUUUAUUGAUCUUAAAUAAUAAUUUUAUUUGCUAAACCUCCAUAUUUAAAAAUUAUUGUAGAUGAUACAGGAGAUGACUAAAAAAUUUUAACAAUAAAAAAAUGAGUUAUGGAUGUGGAGUUAUGAUUGUAAAAUAUAUUUUCAUUAGUGUGAAUAAAUAUGACAAAAAAAAAUUUAAGAUUAAGAAUUAAAACAAAAUAUAUGUAGAAAUGAACAUAUAUUUUGUAUGAUGCCAAAAAGUCCAAACACUGCAAGAAGAUAAAUAGAUAAAGUGAAGGAGUAGUGUCCUUUUUUUGCAACACUGAACACUAGAUAGUGGUACUCAAAUGGCAAACAUAUCACAAAGUUAAUGUACUUAAAAAAUAAGAAAAGGGAAUGCAGUUGAAAUAAAAUAAAAUAAGGGAAAUACAUGAGAUUUCUUAUAAUAAGAAAUUUCAUAAUCAAUAUGUAAAUCAUAAAUACUGAUAUGUUUGUGGCAGACAAACAAAAAUAAUUCAAAAUUUUCUCAAAAACAAAGAAGAGAUUUGAAGGGAAAAUUUAUAAGACAAAACAGUUAGAAUAUUAAAGCACAUGCUACAAUUCAGAAUACUUCCCUCCUUAUUUUUCCUUCCAAAUCAAUCCUUAUUGUGAAAGAGCACUUGACUUUAAUUUUAAUAAAAUAACAACCCUCCAUGAGCUAAUUAACACUCAACACUAAAUUUUUUAUUUUUACAAAAAAAAAAAAUAUUUUUCUCAAUACUUUUUGAAAACUACAUGUAACAUCAAAACAAAAGUUUAAUAUUUAAAUUAUUAUAUAACAUGUAAAAUUUUAGAAACUCAAAGAAGGCUAGACUCCAACAUUUUUCACCCAAAAGAUCACUAUUGAAUUGUAUUAUCAAGUUCAUCUUUCAAGUAGGGAUGGUAAUGGGACGAUUUUAGGAUAGGUCACCCCCAUCCCGUUUAUUUAUAUAUAUUCUCAUUCCCACAAAAAAAGAAAGAAAUAAAUAAAUAAACGAGACAAGGUGGGGUGAGGGAAGUAUGGGAAAUUCUCAUACCUAACUCAUCUUGCCCUGUGUAAAAAUUUUCAACAAUUUUCAAUUUUUCAUUUUUAAAAUUUUAAUUUUUUAUAAAAAAAAAUUGAAUAUAAUUUAUAAAAAAAAAUUAUAAAUAUUUAUAAUUACUUUUAUGAAAACUAAUAUUUUAUUUAUGUUUAAAAAGUUAAAAAAUGAAAAAAUAAUUAAAAUAAUUUUUUAUUUAAAAUUAUAUAUAAUUAGGGCAAGCCAGGGCAAGACAAAGUCAUUACCAGAACCCACCCACACCUAUUUUGGGAUUUUAAAAACUUCGCAAACCUAUCUCAAACCUGUUUAUUUUUAUCCCAAACCCUUCUCAAAGUGGAUACUUGGUUCAUUGUCAUCCUUAUAUCUAAGCCUAUUUUGUAGACCAUAAACAUUUAAGGACUCCAAGCCAAGGAGUGUAGUUUGUGUAAUAAUUUAUUACAAGCCCUUUGGUUAAUAAUAUAUACAUAUACAUUCCCAAUUGCCAAACAUAUGUGAAUAGAAUAUGAGAGAUAGAAGGUAAACAUGUUAAUAUGACAAAGCAUAAAAUAAAAUUAGAUCGAAAGAAAAAGAAACAAAAAAAAUACAACCGUCAUAUUUUGAAAAUCAAAUGAAACUUAAAAAGACCUUCUAUAUUUUGAUUUUUUUUUUCUCUUUUUGCUAAUUUAUUUUGGAUAAUGGAUAUAAAGUAGUCAAAAUAGUCAUUUAUUUAUUUGUUUUGAAGCCAUCUAAGAAUGAUUCAAUUUUUUUUACCUUUAAUAAAAUUAGAAAAAAAAAGCUAUUAAUAUAAAUAUUUUUCUUCAUCUAAUUACAACCUAUAAAAAAUGUGAAGUUUUAUUUCUUUAUUUUUUUAAAAAAAAUUUGUUUUUUUUUUCUUUUUCUUCAUUUUCUUCAACAAACCUUUUGUUGUACUAGAGUUCUCAUCAUAUCAUACUUUAGUUUUAUUAUUUUUCGUUUAUACAUUAUCCAAUAUAAUUUUUAUUUCCUCAAAUUGAGUAGAUAACGUGACUGUCUCAUGUUAUUUAAGUUUAGAUAAUUGAUAUUAUAUGCUCAUUAAUCCAUCUUUAUCUUCUUCUUGUUUUAUCCCUAAAAUGCAUAUGAUUAUUUUUAUCUGCAAGUAGAAAUUUUGAAGGUUACUAUAGACCCCUUUUAAAAACCAAAUGCUAUUAGUUUUAUUUAUUGCCUUUAUAGCAUUUGGAGGUUUUUUUUGCUCUCACACUUGGGAAGAGCUGGCCACACCUUAAAGGAGUGGAGGACCCCUUUCUGCCGGGAACCAGAUGCAUGGACCUGUGGUGAACAUCAGCAGCUCGCCCAUGGUGGUGGUUGAAGAUGGGGACUUGCCGAGAGGUGAACAGGGGAGUGGAUAGUGGCUUGCGAGAGAAGACAUAAACAGGGGAGGAGAGUAUGGGGAUUUCGAGGAGAGUUUUUUUUUUUUUUUUUUGGGCUGGAGGAGAAAGCAGAUCGGUUUUUCUGGGUUAGUUUGAGAAGAAAAACAGAGGGAAGGCUAGGAGAUGUCUUGAGUGAAGGUUUUUGAGAGAUAUUUUAAAGAGGAGGGAGUUUGCAGCUCACUAGGAACCAAGUGACUUUGCUCCAAAGGAGUCAUUCAAGUUUGAUCAUCUCUCACUUUAGGUUCUUCACUUUUACAGUCAUACUUCACUCAUUUCUAAUGUUUGGGAUGUUUACUUUUAACUGUCUAAGACGUUAAGCUUGCUUUUCAUCUCUGUUUGCUUGAUCUCUGUUUCUUCCCGUAUGAGUUACAUGAUGAUUACGUUGUCUGUUUAUAUGUUGAAACCACUCAAACUGUCCCACCAGUUUUUUUUAGCUCUCUGAUUUCCAUGAAGUGAAGCUGUGUUUAAUGGAGUUAUCUUCUCUUGUAUGCACUCUGUUUUUUUCUUCACUUUAUCCUCUAUUUCUGACAAUCUUCUGGAGUGUUGGAUAUCUUGUUUGGGUCGGUCGUUUGGAUUGGAAUGUUCCUAAGGGAAAGCGGUGCCAGAGUCUUCGAAGAGGAAUCAUUUCAAGUUGAACGAAAGAGGAGUUUGUCAUUUUGGGUAUAGGAUUUUUCGAUAUUUAUUCCUCUACUUUUGGUGCGUUUGAAGAAUUGAGUAUCACAGUUGGUCCGACUACUUACUAGGUUGAUAGUUUAUGGUGGAAGUUUUGGGUAUUAUUCAUGUUAGUAAGGAGGACCAAAAGAGCGUAUUUGACUUGCUUGCUGUAAUUUCGUGGAUGGAAAAUGCCUCAUUUGCUAUGGUUGAUGAUUAAAAUCAUGUUGAAGCUAUGGCAGAUGAAGGUCUGAUCAAUGUUACUAAGUCAAUCAGAUGGAGUGUUGAGGGUUUAAAGUAGGUCUCAUCAACUCACAGGAUGAGGGUUGGAAGUGAUACAUUCUUUUGGGAUGUUCACUGAGGAAGGACAACUGUCACUGGUUUCAUUACCCCUUAUCCAUAUGCUGAGCUCAAAAUUGCCAAAGGUGUCUAAUCUGUUGAAGUUCCUAAGGUGGUAACGUGUGGAAAUACCUCUCUAGAGCCAUCUGAUACUCACUGUUAAUGAUUGGCUCCAUCAACACACCCAUCCCCAUUCAUACCUUCAUUUUUCAAGGCCCACCGAACCCAUUCUAUUUCACCUUGUUUCCACCAUUCAUGCCCGUCACACCCAUUUCUUACCCAUGCAUACGAUAAUCAUGCUUCAAUUCCCAUACCCACGUUCUCGUUAACCACUCCCCCAUGAAACCCAUUGCUUUCAUACCCAUUCUCUACAUCCCCAUACCCAUUCCACAUAGUCGCCCAUUUUCUCACUGCCCGUGUUUAUGCUUCAUAGCCUUUACCUCCAUUCCCAUGCAAACACCUCACUAAUCACCACAUCACUCUCCAUAUCCGCUACCCAUAAUUCGCCUUGCACAGUUUCCACCACCACGCCUCCACAUCUUGAUACCCAUUUCUUCUCUUCCAUACACACCAUUUUUCGUUCAUCUCCAAUACCAUACCCAUCAUCCACCACUAAUACCCACACCGUUACCACCCCGACAUAUCCAAUGCCAUGCACCAUUCAUCCCACCCCAUGCAUGUCACAUUUCUUUUUUAACACCACUUGUUUUUAUACUCCUAUCUUCAUGCCCACUACCUUUCCAUACCUAAAUCUCAUGCCCCCCAUGCAUAUACUCGUCGAGCCACCCCACAUAAACCCACUUCUCUCUCUAAGUCUUCACAUACCUAUCACCACAUUUUCUCUCUCUACACCACACCACAUACCCAUUUUUUCUUCAAAUGCCCUUCAAACUCAUUCCCUUCACCUUUGCAUGGCCAUGUUAACCUCCAUACCCGUAUCUCAUACCCCCAUGCAUACCCAUCUAACCACACCAUUAAAAUGCCUUCUUUCUCUAUACCCUCAUGCCCACGCCGUAAUUCGCCCCUCUUAGCUUAAACCACCCUUCAUACCCACUGUCCAUUUCCCACUUAUAUGACCCACAUGCUAUCCCGUGGUUGUAUCCCCAUAACGUACCUUUUUAUUGAUUUCAAAGAACAAACUCUCAUAUCUGAUGAGGGUCCAGAAGCUCGUCCUCAGCGUAUCUAGUGAAUAAAGUGGAGAUAAAAAUAAAAUAUACUUGAAAUGAUGCUUAGAGGUGGGUUCGGACCUAGGUAGUCGAAGCUUGGGUCAUCAUGGAUCUUCCUUUUUGGAGUGGACUUCUUGAACAAUCAAGUUGAUGGAAGGAUUGCCGAGUCAGACAAUGGUUCAACAUGUAAUCAAGCUGCUAUGUGUUCAUUCAAUGUGGCUGCAGGCUUGAUCGUCCCUGAUAAGGAUGAAGAAACACAGAAGGUUAGUAUAUUGCCCAAACAUAAGCGUGUGGUUAGACAUGGUAUGCACUACAGGAAGAGGAGUUAAGAUUAAUUACACUGAAGACACGGAAGCCUCAACAUCAGGUAGAAAAUAUGAUCGCCUACCAACUCACAAGGUUGAUAAAGUGCAAGAAGCGCUUAAACCCAGUUCUUUGGAGUUGCGAGCUCUGGUGAAAGACCCUCUUCCUGAAGCAUUGCAGUUGGCUAAAGUUGUAUUAUCUGCAUGGCACGCAUGACAUUUUUUUUAGCACGUACAGAAAUGCAUGAAGACACUUGAAAGCUUCUAUGCCACGUACUGGUGUAUUCUCAAGCAAAGAACAAUUGAUCUUAGUCUUUGCCCAAGGGAUCUGCAACCUGGCCAGAGAAGAAGAUUCUCACUCCUAAUUCACUUGUAUCAUCUAUAAUGUGCGAAUCUCAGUACAAGUUUAAGAAAAUAUCUUGCUAGAGCAUGUUUGGUUCUCCUCAAGCAUGGAAAGGUGGUAGAACACGAGAUUAUACAUGACCAUGUGACCAAACGCUCCCAAGGAUUUGGGUUCAUUGUAUUUGACAAUGAACAGGUUGUUGAUGAUCUACUGACAAACGAAAAUAUGAUUGAUAUGGAGGGUACUCAAGUUGAGAUCAAGAAGGCAGAACCAAAGAAAUCCUCCUCAAAGCUAGGUCGCACCUUUUCAUUUGGUGGUGAUUCUAGGACGCAAAUGUACAAUGAUGAUUUUAGUGGAUACGACAGCGAUCCUUAUAGUGGUCUGGGCAGUGGUGGCUAUGGGCCUGAUUCCUACCGGGCACUUGGAGGUAUUGACAGUAGGCUUGGUGAUUAUGGUGGGUAUAGUGGAAGUGGCAAUGAAUUUGAGGCCACGUGUCAUCGCCCACUUCCUCGUCCCAUGAUUUUCAAAAUAAUUUUCCUGAACAUCAUUUUAUUAAUAAUUCCUCCAAUUGUUUUUGUUUUUUAGAUAAUGUCAAAUCUCCAAAUUCUUCAUCCUUGUUCUGUUUUCUUAAAUGAUUUCUCACAUUCCUAGUUUUCAAAUAAUUUUUUAAAAUUAUUGUUUUCUUAAAUAAUUUUCCAAUUUCCAAAUCCUUCAAACAAUUUUUGCUUUUCAAAUUUUUCAUCCUUAGAUUUUUUUUAGGUCCUAAAAAUCCCAUUUUCUAUGAAAUUUGGCCACCAUUUUCUUUCUGGCAAGCCAUUUUUGAAUUUUCUUUGAUUUUUAAAAUAUUUUAAAAUAAGUGUGAAUUUAUUUUUGUAAUUAUUAGUGAUGGAAUUUACAAGAUUGAUUCACUCAAAAAUAAAUUGGGCUUUGGUGGGGGCCCAAUAUUAUUGGAUGUUUCCUUUGAAAAUCAAUUUGAUUGAAUUGUGAUAUGUGAUGAUUUCGUACUCGAUUUAAUGGCAUAUGAGCUAUGUUUUAUGUCAAUUAUUUAUGCACUAACCCUAUUUCAUGAUAGCGCGUUGCCGUUUGCUGAUUAGGUGCACACCCGCUCUCACUCUGGCCAUUCUUUAUUGAGUGUUUUGAUUCUCACAUGUGCAUGAUCGUUUUGGGUAUCCAUUAAUUUCCUUACCAAUUGCCAUGAUUGCUUCAUUUUAUUAAUAGAUACCCGUUUUUAGGAACUUAGAGGGGUGCUAUGGUCUUUACUAUACCUUCCUGAUAAGUAACUUGACCUCCAAACUCGAUCCGGUUUUUCACAGACCACCUUUUCCAAAAUAAGGAUGUCAUACUUAGAGUUUUCUUUCUUAUUUUGUUUACCCUUUAAAAAUAAAACAAAAAUAAGUGACGGAUCAAAGUCAUUUUCUUAAUAAAUAAAAUCAUUUUCAAAAUAAAAAGCAAGCUCGCCGUUGAGUGGAAGCGCAUGAGCCGAAAUACGGGGUCCACAGUUACUUUUUUUUUCUUAGAAUUUAUUUAUUUAUAGUAAAAAGUAGAGUAAAUAAAAACCAAUAAUGACAUAAAAAUAUCAUUAACUUUAGGCUACUAGUAUUUAUUUUAUUCACAUUUCACCAAUUUUAUAUUUUAUCAUUUUUCUUUAUAUUUAUUAAUUUUAUGAUGUUAUAUUUGAUUUAUGUAAAUAGUGAAUAAUCAUUACAUAUUAUUAUAAUGGUAAUUAUAAACAAAAAGAAUUUUGUCUUUGGUUAACACCUUUCUCUUUUUAAUUGGGAGGAGCCUUGAAAUGGGGCCGCCCACAUGACAUUUGAAAAAAGUUGUUAAAAAACCCACAUUUUAAAAGAAGUGGGUUGAUAAUGCUUUUGAUCAUUUGCUUUUGGAAAAGUUAAAAAACUAUUUGAAAAAUUAAAAAUCUAUUUGUAAACCUAUGCUUUGGGAAAAGAGGGUGAAACUCGACGCCAUAAAGAAGAUAAGGUUUUUAAAAAGCUGUUUGAAAACCAACUUUUUGAAAUUGGACAAUUAUGGGUAUUGGUGUUCACAUUCGAUGAUUAGGCAAACACUCCUAAAGAUGUAUAAUUGAUGUGAAGUUCUUGAAAAUUUAUGAACAAAAACAUCUUUUAUGUACAUUUACACAUUUUAUUUAUUUUUAUAUUAAAUUAUUGGAAAUAUUGUUUACAUGCAUCUAUAAAAAUCAAAUAUAAUUUUUAUUUUUAUUUUUUAUAUUUUCAUAUAUAUACAAGGUACAUGUACUAAAUAUAUAUGAUAUUUGUACUAAUUGUAGAAGACAUGUAUAAGUUUGUCUAUUAUGAAUAUAUUUACGCAUUUUUUUUACUAUUUUUCAUACCAUUAGAAACAUCAUUGACAAAUAUACAUGAAUGUCACAUGCAAUUUUAUUUUUUAAAAUUAUCACACAUGUACAAGGUACUUGUAUUAAAUAUAUAAGACAUUCAUAUUAAUUGCAAAAAGUUUGUACAAAUGUACUUAUUAUAAAUAUAUUUACAUGUUUUUAUGAAUGUUCGUAAAUUUUGAAAAUGUGUUAUACAUUUAGUAUAACUAUGUUGUAUAUCUAUGAAAAUGCCAAAAAAAAAAAAUUAUAUUUGACAUUUAUGCAUAUGUAUCUAAUAAUUUGUUAUGUACAACUAUUAUGCAAAUCAUGAAAAAGAAUAAUAAUAGAAUAAAAGAAUAAGAAAAACGAAAUCAAAAUACACAAAUCAACCAAUCAUGCUUCUAUUUAUGGAUGAGAGGGAAUUAUUCUACUAUAAAAGAAUACUACAAAGCCUCCUUGUAUCCAUAUCCUAAUGAGCCCUCUCGCUCUAUUAGGUAUCUCUUGUUCUUCCUCAUAUUUUUAUGUAUUUACACGUUUUAUUUCUUUUUUAUAUUAAAUUAUUGGAAAUAUUUUUUUACAUACAUCUAUAAAUGUCAAAUAUAAUUUUUAUUUUUAUUUUUGAUAUUUUCAUAUAUAUACAAGGUAUCUAUACUACAUAUACACUUCAUUUGUAUUAACUGUACAAGACAUGUAUAAGUUUGUCUAUUAUGAAUAUAUUUAUGGUUUUUUUACUAUUUUUUAUACUACUAGGAACAUUGUUUACACAUAAACGUGAAUGUCAAAUAUAAUUUUUUUAAUUAAAUUAUCACACAUGUACAAGGUGCUUGUAUUAAAUGUAUAAGGCAUUUGUACUAAUUGUACAAGGUUUGUACAAACAUAUUAUUGUAAAUAUAUUUAUGUGUUUUUAUGAAUAUUUGUAAAAAUGUAAAAAUGUGUUGUACAUUUAGUAUAACUAUGUUGUUUGUGUGAAAAAUCCAAAAAAAAAAAAAUUAACAUUUAUACAUGUGCAUAAAUAAAUUUUCUAAUAAUUUGGCAUGCAAAAAAGAAAAAGAAAAUGAAGAACAACAUGUAAUAAAUUCUUGAUAUACAAGUUUGCACAUGUCUUACACAAUUUAUAUGCAUGCAAAUAUAAAGAAAAUGAAUUUGACAUAUUUAUGUCGAACAUUGUUUUCUUGCGGUUUAAUAUGAUGUAUAAAAAACAAAAUCAAGAAAAUAUUUUAAGAAAUUGAAAAUAAUAUAUCUUGUAUCUUUCUUGUUCAGUUAAUGUGCAUUUACCUUAGAUAUCAUCUCUAAAAGUGAAGCAAAGGAAUUGAUAUAAUAAUCACUAAAAUCUCAAAUAAAUAAUAUAAGUAAUUAACUAAAAUUUGAUUGUUAUUAUUUAUCAUUUGAAAUAUCCUAGUAAGCCAUAUUAUCACUCAUAAUUUAAAUUAAAGAUAUAUGUGGACCCUCACCCGAUCCACCGGACCGACGCGACUCGCUUUUAAAAGAAAAGAAAGAAAUGAAAAAGUUGGUGUCUUCCAAUUUUGAAAAACCCGCCCCCGGUGAGGAACGGUGUUGUUUGGAGUCUCCACUUACUUUUUAUUUUUGUUUUUUAAAAUGGGGAAAAUUAAGUAAGAACAAAAACCCCUAAUGACCCCAGUAUGGAAAAAACGGUCUAUGAAAACUAGAUUCUAGGUCUGAGGAUCAGGUUACCCGUUGGGAAGGUACCUCAUGCGAGGUAGCACCUCUCUAGGCCCGAAACUCGGUCUCUACUAAUGAAUUGGGUAUGUGGGAGCAUAUGGGUCAAAGGUCAAAUGAAAUCCUAGGCUAAAUAGAUGUCAUGAAUCACACAAUCCUAAUUGGUAUUUGGCAUGCAUAUGAAUUCAACCAAACAAAACAAUGGGUGCGUACCUGUGGUCCUUAGCCAAGCGCUGCACAAAAGGUCAGCCAAACACAUAUAAACACAUAACAAACAUUCAAGAUUAAGCACCAUGCAUGCAUAUGAAUUCAACAACCAAAGCCAACGAUGAGUACCUGUGGUCCCUAGCCAAGCGCUGCAGGAGAGGGUGAGUCAGUCACGCAACAUGUAUUCAAAAUCAAGCAUCAAAGCUUGUGCCAAAAAGGAAGAUAGCUGGUUGAAAUGAGGUAAGAGACUUCCCAAAUGUCAUACAAAUCGAACUAGACUCAUCUAGACCACACCACCCAUAACUUCAAAAUUGCUCAUACUAACUGAAAUCAAACACUGACUUAAACCUUCAAGAUGGCUCACAAGUGCCCUAUAACAAAUGGGUUUGAGCCCCCCAUGGAUAAGGGCUCGAAAAAUGCUAAAAUCGAGGGCUACCUAAAGUCCUCCAGUAGAACAGGUUGAACUAGUUCUCAACUGGUACAACCUAUUGAGAAGAAUUCCCAAAUUUUUCUAGAAAACUCCUAAAUGAGUGAGGAUUCAAACCAAAGAAAUGACACUCAAUCCCGAGCCCGGAUGAGUGAGAACCAGACAAAGAAAGGCAGGUGUUCCUCAUGGCUGACAGAGGCUGCCAGCUAUGGUGCUGAACCGGUUCCCAACCAGUACAUCCGGUUGAUAAAAAAUCCCAAAUUUGGUAAGAAAGUUCCUAAGUGAUUAAGGAAGCAAACAAAAGAAACGGUUCUCAAUUCCGAGCCCGGAUGAGUGAGAACCAGACAAAGAAAGGCAAGUGUUCCUCAUGGCUGACAGAGGUUGCCAGCUAUGGUGCUGAACCGGUUGAACCGGUUCCAAACUGGUUCAGCUGGUUGGUAAAAAAUCCAAAAUUCAGUCAAAAAGUUUCUAAGUGAUUAAGGAAGAAAACAAAAGAAACGGUUCUCAAUUCCGAGCCCGGAUGAGUGAGAACCAGACAAAGAAAGGCAAGUGUUCCUCAUGGCUGACAGAGGCUGCCAGCUAUGGUGCUGAACCGGUUGGUAAAAAAUCCCAAAUUCGGUCAUAAAAUUCCUAAGUGAUUAAGAAAGCAAAAAAAAGAAACGGUUCUCAAUUCCGAUCCCGGGUGAGUGAGAACUAGACAAAGAAAGGCAAGUGUUCCUCAUGGCUGACAGAGGCUGCCAGCUAUGGUGCUGAACCGGUUGAACCGGUUCCAAGCCGAUUCAACCGGUUGGUAAAAAAUCCCAAAUUCGGUCAGAAAGUUCGUAAGUGAUUAAGGAAGCAAAAAAAAAGAAACGGUUCUCAAUUCCGAGCCCGGAUGAGUGAGAACCAGACAAAGAAAGGCAAGUGUUCCUCAUGGCUGACAGAGGCUGCCAGCUAUGGUGCUGAACCAGUUGAACUGGUUCCAAGCCGGUUCAGCCUGUUGGUAAAAAAUCCCAAAUUUUGUCAGAAAGUUUCUAUGUGAUUAAGGAAGCAAACAAAAGAAACGGUUCUCAAUUCCUAGCCCGGAUGAGUGAGAACCAGACAAAGAAAGGCAAGUGUUCCUCAUGGCUGACAGAGGCUGCCAGCUAUGGUGCUGAACCGGUUGAACCGGUUCCAAACCAGUUCAACCGGUUGGUAAAAAAUCCCAAAUUCGGUCCAAAAAUUCCUAAGUGAUUAAGGAAGCAAAAAAAAACAAACGGUUCUCAAUUCCGAGCCCGGAUGAGUGAGAACCAGACAAAGAAAGGCAAGUGUUCCUUAUGGCUGAUAGAGGCUGCCAGCUAUGGUGCUGAACCGGUUGAACCGGUUCCAAGCCGGUUCAGUCGGUUGGUAAAAAAUCCCAAAUUUGGUCAGAAAGUUCCUAAGUGAUUAAGGAAGAAAACAACAACAAUCAUGUGUGGCCUUUAUUAUCCACACCCAAGCAAUACAAUCUUCAUAUCAAAGGGAAGAAAAGAUGAUGAGGAAGGAGAAAAAGCAUAUGAAGACAAGGAAGAUAAAGUGUAAGUAAAGAAAAUUCAGCAUGCUUACCUCAGAAUCUCCACCAAAUAUGAUCUGUGUAUGCAGAUGAUGACUUCUAAAACUGAGAUGAUGUCACUCUCCUCUUCAAAAAACCACAGUGCUGAAGCUUUCCCCCACGCUCUCAACUUAGAAGAUGCUACUGACCUUUUGUUUUUCUCACCAGCAAAAUUUCCCCUCUCCAAAAUGUCUCCUCCUCCUUUGCUCUCCUAUCCUCUCACCUUUUAUACUCAUACCCCUCUUAGCAUUUGAGCCUCCUGGAUUCCUUCCCCUUCAGCACCAAAAUCCCCUUCAUCAGCAUGGGAACCACACCCCUCAUUACUUCUCUUAAACUUACAAGGCCAGCUCACUCCUUCAGUUUUCAGCUUGCUUCACCACCAAGAAUCCAUAUGGAUUCGUGGUGGGCUGCAAGGAACCCAAACCAAGGCCCAAAAUGGACCCACAACAUUGCCCAAAACUGAUCUGGAGCUUACGGGCCUGAGCCAUGUAGGAUUUGGGCCUCAAAAUUACUAGAAUUAGUGUUUUACCUCAGCUAACUCAAGGAACCGGCUGAACCGGCUGAACUGGAUACCAACUGGUCGAACUGAUGGAAAAAAAUUCUGAAAAUUUUAAAGAAUGUUCCUAGUAGAGCAAGGAAUCCAUUAAAAAAAACGGUGCAUGAUUCCAAGUUCGGAAGAGGGAGAUAUGAUCAAAACAAUUACCAAAAAUCAGUGUUCUACACCGGCUAACUCGAUGAACCGGCUGAACUGGCUGCCAACCAGUCGACCGGAUGCAAAAAAUUUUGAAAAUUUUACAGAAUGUUCCUGGAAGAAUAAGGAAUCCAUAAAAAGAAACGGUUCUUGAUUCUGAGUUUGGAUAAGGGAUAUACGAUCAAAACAAGCCUGAGUGCUCCGAACCUCAACAUGCCCCUAUAAACUCCAACUAAGCUAAGACAUCGGGAUGACCCCACUUCCUUCCUAUAGCAUGAUAUGAAUGACUAGGAAAAUGGCCAUGGUGACCCUCCAAAAUGAACCACAUAUGCACCACAAUGGACCACAAACAAACCCACAUGAGGCUCGGACACCGACUAAGCCCAAAAGGGGCCCUAGUGGUGCCAUAUGCGAACGAUGGGUAGAUGUGACACCCGAAGGAUAAAUGCCAGUGUCGAGGGACAAAAUUGAGGGUCUACAAAUAUGACCCUCUUCAGUAGAGUGAAUGAACGAGUGAAUUGUGAGUGCGAAGUGCAUGUAAUGCAAGAGUGAAAUGAACUCUAGUGAAGAACCCAAAUGACCAACAAUUUUGUCCCCACCCAACAAUAAAGAAGGCUAAGGGAAAUAAGUCAUGCUGACCGAAUGGACUAUGGGAUCUAGGCACGAUGCCGGAGAAAGAUAAAAGGAGACCCGAUCAUGAUGCCAGGAAAGAUUAGGGAUUUGAUCCGGGCAAUUACUGGAGAAGGGUUCGGGCAAGUACUGAAAAAUGGUGGAAUCCGGGUGAGUACCGGAAAAGGGUUAGGGCAAGUACCGACAAAUGGUGGAAUCCGGGCGAGUACCGAAAACGGGUAAAAUUCGGGCGAGUACCGGAGAAGGGUCCGGGCGAGUACCGGAGAAGGGUCCGGGCGAGUACCGGAGAAGGUUCCGGGCAAGUACCGGAGAAGGGUUCGGGCAAGUACCGAAAAAGCUCCGGGCGAGUACCGGAGAAGGGUAAAAUUCGGGCGAGUACCGAAAACGGGUAAAAUUCGGGCAAGUACCGAAAACGGGUAAAAUUCGGGCAAGUACCGAAAACAGGUAAAAUUCGGGCAAGUACCGGAGAAAGGUUCGGGCAAGUACCGAAAAAGCUCCGGGCGAGUACCAGAGAAGGUUCCAGGCGAGUACCGGAGAAGGUUCCGAGCAAGUACCGGAGAAGGGUCCGGGGCGAGUACCGGAAAAGCUCCGGGCAAGUACCGGAGAAGGGUCCGGGUGAGUACCGGAAAAUGGUGGAAUCCAGGCGAUCGAACUCGAGCAUGAUGCCGAGGAACCACCGAACUAAAAGGGGGUAGGGAUGCCAUUACUAAGGCUCAAAACACCUAAACAGACAGAGGAUGCCUUAAAACAAAACUCAGAGUAAAAUAGGGGGACUCAAGAUGCAACUGUUGAUAUACUAACCAUGAUAACAAAGGGGUAUGCCCCAGUAUGACGUCCAGGGACUGCCAACAAAUGACUCGAAGAAGCCAGAAUCAAACACCUUCAUCAUGACAAAAGAAAGGGGUAUGCCUCGGUGUAACACCAGAAAAUGCCGAUAAAUGACAAGCGAGAAAUCACAAUCACCACUAACAAAUGGAAAGAAGGGGGUAUGCCCCUAUAGGACAAACUCACAAAUGUGACCAAGGGUGAAAGGAAGGAGUUAUGCCCCAGUCUAAGAUAUCAAUAUCAUGUCAGAAUCCCAUAACCGCACAUAUGGUUAAAGCCAGAGAGCUGAAAAUAUCACAAUCAUCCAUUUCUAAGGAAAAAAAACCCUUCACUCUAAUCCACAACAUCCAAUAUCCACAAAAACUGAUAGGGGAUAUGCCCCAGUGUGUACAUCUGAAACUCAAAUAUCUUAAUGAAAACUCUGGAAUACAUUGCUGAAGACCCAUGCAUUUGAACUAACGAACAAGACAAUGGAUGGGGUAUGCACCCCUACUGGGUCAAUGAAUACCGUGAAUCUGAUCUCGGGUCAGACCCCAGAAGCACUCUGCUAUAUGAAAAAACUGAGCUGAAUGCGGGUCUUACUCAAACUUUGAUGUCCAUAACAUUGUUAGGCGAAACAGAAUGCCUGCGUACAUGUAUAAAGAGCCAAAGCCAGCAUGCAAGGAUGGGAGCAUGCCCUAGUAUAAAUGUGUCAAAACAUUAGGCAAAGGUGCCCUCAACGAUCCCAACUCUCUGUAUCAUCUAUCUCUGAUCAUGGACCUGAGGCAAGUAAACUGAAUGGAAAGACAAUAUGUGACCCUCGAUAUCCCCCGAAGUAAUGGAGACCUGUCAACAUCCCAUACUCAAUCAGUAGACGAAGCCUGUCCGAAUGAACCGCAUCGAAGCAAACACGAGAUCUCAUGGCCUCAGGGUGGUCUUACGACUCGGACCGUAAUGUAGGCCAGGGGUAAAAGGUGAAUGAAACGAUGGGAAACAAAUGCCCAAAUCUCCUAAUAGAUAAUGCCAAACCCUUGUGUGCGCAAUGUCAAAUAUCGCAGGACCAUGUGAGCAAGGUGACUCAACCCUGCAUCCAAAUAAAAAACAAACAAUAGGUGAUACACACCAAAGAACUCAUUGUUCAUGAAGUGAAACGACGAUCGACGAGGAUAGAAGCAGACGAAAAGGGACAAGAUGAAUGAUGAAUGGGUGUAGAAGAAAAUGGAGAAACCAACUGGGAUACAAAUAUAACAAUAUGUGACAACGACGAAUAACUCAUCCUAAGAACGCCAAAUCAAAGCAAGUCACUAUAUGAUGGGAAUGGUGAUGUAGACAAUGAUCCAAGGGCCUAGUGCCAAGGAAACCCAAACCUCACUCCCAAUGUGUCACCCAAAUCCAUGGUGAGAAGGAUCGUACAAUGCUCUCAUCCGACUCUUAAAAGAAAAAGAAAUCUCUCAAACCCAAAACCACCUCUGAUGAUCCCAAGUAUAUCAACGAAUACCAAACAAGCACAAUUUUUCCUUUUUUUCAUUUUUAUUUUAUUUUAUUUUUUCCUUUUUCCUUUUUUUUUUUUUUGGGGCCGAAUUCCAUACUAUCACAAUCCAACAAAAAGAACCCCAAACCUCCAAUCUUGACCGACCCCUUCAACCUAAGAAUCUUGGAUCAAAGCCUACAGGCGGAACGAAGGGUGUGACAAACCUGACUGGUAGCUCUGGGACGAGAGCGCAUCAUCAUCACACAAGGGAAAACAGAAGCGAAGUGAAUAGAGAUGAUAGAAACUGGACUAACAGGUAGACGGUGUGAAGAUGCAAAAUGGAGACGAAAAGAAACAGGCAAUGAUGCAAGAAAGAACAAACAAAGAAUGACACCAUGCCCACAAUGCUCAUAGAUCCAAUCAAUAAAUACAAAGCACACAAGGGUAGGCCCCCAAACCAGGUCAAAAAAGGUAUGCAAGGCUGAAUGAAAGAAAAUGUCAUAAUAAACCACGUGAGGCUCAAAGGGCUAGCAAUAGUAUAUAUCAAUGUAUGGGUGUGCAAUAGGGAAUAUGACUACUCAAAGUGACGACCACCCAUCCUCUGACCAUGAUCUCACGCAUAAAACUUCUUCAGCUGAUCCACAUUAACUGGCUCUAUGAACUGAUUUCCGUUUAGGUCUGUCAACCAACCAGCUCCCUCUCGAGUCAGAUCUCGGAUGACAUAAGGCCCGCUCCAACUCGGUCUAAACUUACCUCUAGGGUCGUUAAUCAAUCCCCUGAGGACUUUCAAGACUAGGUCACCUCUCUGGAAUUUCCUAGGCUUGACCCUCUUUCUGAAUGCACGGGUCAUCUUCAUCUGAUAGGCCUAAACAUGAUCUGCCGCCCUCAAUCUCUUCUCAUCCAACAGGCUAAGCUGAUCAUAACGAGACUGGGCCCACUCGGCCUCGGAUAUAUGCUGCUCUAGUGCUACUCUCAAAGAUCUCAUCUUAAUCUCAACAGGUAGCACUGCCUCCAUACCAUACACCAAAGAAUACGGGGUAGCUCCAAUAGAGGUACGAAAAGAUGUACGAUAAGCCCACAAUGCGAAAGGGAGCUUCUCUGACCAAUCCCGAGAGGUCUCGACCAUCUUUCUCAAAAUCCUCUUGAUAUUCUUAUUUGCGUCCUCAACUGCUCCAUUAGUCUGCGGCCUGUAUGCAGACGGUCUGUGAUGCUGAAUGCCAUACUCUUGAAUCAACGUGUCCACCUCGCCCUUGAAAUGCACCCUCUGUCUGAGAUCAGCUCAUGNNNNNNNNNNNNNNNNNNNNNNNNNNNNNNNNNNNNNNNNNNNNNNNNNNNNNNNNNNNNNNNNNNNNNNNNNNNNNNNNNNNNNNNNNNNNNNNNNNNNUCUCCAUGGUCAACCAAAAGUAGCCAGUCCUCAUGAUCUUACGUGCUAGCAUAUGACUUCCCAUGUGUGGGCCACAAACCCCUGCAUGAACCUCUCUUAUCACUCGAUCUGCAGAUGCACGGUCUAAACAUAAUAAUAACAAGCCAUCAGGUGAUCUCCUAUACAGCGCAUCCCCGCAAACAACAAAUCUGGUGGCCAACUGUCUCAAUGCUCUCCUAUCCUUAGCCGAGGCUAACUCUGGGUAAGCGCCGCAUGAUUGAAACUGAUAAAUAUCAUGAUACCAUGGCAACUCAAUCUGAUCCUCUAUCUCUCCAAUUAGACAACAGUAAGUUGGUGCAGACCUAGUCUCAAUUAACAAUGGCUUAACAUUCACCCCCGCAGGAAUCACAAUCAGAGAAGCCAAGGUGGCUAAUGCAUAUGCAAACUGAUUCUCCGUCCUGGGCAAAUGUAUAUACCUUAACACAUCGAAUCUAUCAAUCAACAAGUCCAAGUAAGCAUGGUAGGGUUUCAGCUUCUCAUCCCGUGUCCUCCAGAUACCUUGAGUCUGCUUUAUAACCAAGUUGGAAUCCCCGUGGAUCUCCAAUUGUCUAAUGCCAAGAUCAAGUGCAGUCUCCAAACCUGUAAUGCAAGCCUCAUACUCUACAAUAUUAUUCGUCAACCGGUGAUGAUCAGAAAAUGCUAAUCGAACUGAUCUGGGGAUAUGAUCACCCUGUGAUGAUAUCAAUAAGAUACCAAUGCCAAACCCGACUGAUUGGCGGCACCAUCAAAGUACAACCGCCACCCCGUAAUACUAGUCAUUGAAACAAUCUGCUCAUCAGGGAAAUCAUCAUCAACUGAUCGGUCAUCGGAUAUCGGCAAAGAAGCUAGAUGAUCUGCAACAAUGCUUCCCUUUACUGACUUCUGCGUGACAUAAUGAAUAUCAAACUCUGUCAACAAUACCAGCUAUCUCAUGAGCCUACCGGUCAGAACAGGCCUGUCAAAUAGAUACCUCAACGAGUCCAAUCGUGAGACCAAGAGCACAAAAUACUCUGUCAUGUAAUGUCUAAGUCUCCUAGUGGCCCAAACCACUGCUAAGCAAAGGCGCUCAAUCAUAAUGUACUUGCACUCAUACUCAAGCAUCCUUUUACUCAAAUAAUAGAUGGCUCGCUCCUUCCUCAAAUCAUCAAGCUGAGCUAACAUGUAUCCUAAGGCCAUGUCUGAAACUGAUAAGUACAGAAGCAAAGGACACCCCGGUGUGGGAGGCACUAAAACUGGAGGAGAAAGGAGACACUCCUUAAUCCUCUCAAAAGCGCGCUGACAAUCAUCAUUCCAAACUGUAGGCUGAUUCUUCCUCAGAAGGCAGAAGAUAGGCUCACAAAUGUCUGUCAGUCUAGCAAUGAAACGACUGAUGUAUUGCAAUCUACCUAGGAAUCCCCUUAUCUCUUUCUCAGUCCUCGGGGUAGGCAUGUCAAGUAUGGCUCUGAUUUUCUCUGGAUCAACCUCUAUACCUCGCUCACUAACAAUGUGUCCCAGCAAUUUUCCAGAAGUCACCCCAAAGGUGCACUUCUUGGGAUUCAAUCUUAGCCUGAACUGUCUGAUCCUCUCAAAAAACCUUUGUAAGGCUGCUAAGUGAUCUGCCCUGUCUCGGGACUUUACUAUCAUGUCAUCCACAUAGACCUCGACAUCUCUAUGCAUCAUAUCAUGGAACAGAGUAGUAGCAGCUCUCUGAUAAGUGGCUCCCGCAUUCUUCAACCCAAAUGGCAUAACUCGGUAGCAGUAAGUACCCCACUCAGUAAUGAAAGAAGUCUUCACCAUAUCCUCUGGAGCCAUCAAAAUCUGAUUAUACCUAGAAAAACCAUCCAUGAAGGAUAACAUCGGAUGCCCUGUAGUGCUAUCAACCAGCAUAUCAAUGUGUGGAAGGGGAAAAUCAUCCUUAGGGCUGGCCUUAUUCAGAUCUCGAAAGUCAACACAAACUCUAACCUUGCCGUCCUUUUUGGGAACAGGGACGACAUUAGCCAGCCACUCAGGAUACUUAACCACUGACAAGAAGCCAACACUAAGUUGCUUCUGAAUUUCUUCCUUAACUUGCAAACUCCAUCGAGGGUGUAGUCUCCUCAAUUUCUGCUUAACGGGCCUAGCAUGUGGUAAAAUGGGCAGGUGAUGCUGCACUAUGGUGGGGUCAAGGUCCGGCAUGUCCUCAUAUGACCAUGCAAAUACAUCCAAGUAUGAUCUAAGCAGGUUAAUCAAUCUACUCCUCUCAUCAGGAGAUAGAGAAGAGCCAAUCCUAAUCUCCCUGAGCUGAUCUGGUGCCCCAAAAUCUAUCAACUCUGUGCUACUAGAAAUGGGUGUGACUUUCCUAUCCUCUGUAUCAGAAUCACACUCUGACUGACCACCCAGUGGGUCAUCUGUAUCUCCCACAUCAUCAACAUCAUAUAUAUGUGUCGUGGGUGCUGGUGGUGCAAUCAAAGGAAAAUGUUGUGACACAUUCAAGUACUCGAAAAUACUCAUAUCAUUAUUACCAUCAGAAAUAUCAUCAAAGCGGGUGACAAACCUGGACAUAGUGUCAAAAGAAAGAGGUGGGUCCACAGAGUCGGACGCUCCCUCAACAGAAGCAAAAUCAGAAGUAACGACAUCAAGGAUUGACUCAUCAUCAAGUACGGAAACUCCAGAUAUGUCAAAAGUAGAAAGGGACCCGCGUGGGGCUGCAUCAAGGAUAUGACCAAUGCCUAUAAAAUCCAUAUCAUCAAUGUAGGCAUCAGGAAUAGAGUCAUCCUCAUCAGUCUUGAGUACAAAAACUCUGAACAUGUCGAAAACAGUAUGGGGCCCAUGUGGCGCUGCAUCGAAGAUACGGCCUAUGCCGAUCAUGUCCAUCUCGUCAGUGCCAUAUCCCAAAUCCAUAGGUAGGUCAUAGUCAGGGACCUCCUCGGGGAAACACAUAGAGAACAUACUAGCUCGGUCCGGUGAUGGGGGUGUGACUAUCAUGGCACCAGGUGCCUCAGUAGUCCUGGUGUCCAAAUGAAUCUGACCCAGGGCCUGCUGGAUGUCCUAAAUCUCAACUGUCUUUGGAAUAUGAACAGUCCCCUCUGUGCGAGGUGUAUGCUCUGAACCCCUAAUGAAGUAGUCGGCCAACUGGAAAGUGUAUGGGCGGAGGGGAUAAUCAAAUGGAAUGCCAGACAUGCGAGCCCUCACCCUAUCCCUGCGCAGCUGUGACAUAUAACGUGCAUCAGCCUCUAUGGGGAUGUAACCUAAUCCGUAGGGCGUGUCGUGAUCAACAGUGAAAGUAAACUCGUGGGGCCCCUGCUGGCAGCGACCCAAUCCCAUACCAGGCAAAUAAGACAUGCCUCUCAUCAUGUUGAGCACCAAAGUGCUGCUGUGCUGGUCAAAUGACAUAAGUACCAUAUCUCUGCUGCCAUCCUCUAAGCUGACAACCAGAACCUCAUCGAACGUAAACCCGGUCAAAUGUAAGUCAUUCUCACUAUGGCUGAUAUGUAAUACUGGCUCAGACGAAGUGAUAAUAUCUCUAUCAGACUAUAUCGUGAUAAUGCGCCCCUCGUGUAUGAACUUCACCUUCUGAUGAAGGGAAGAUGGUAUAGCACCGGCCUCAUGAAUCCACGGGCGGCCAAGAAGCAGGUUAAAGGAUGACUGAAUCCUCAAAACCUGAAAUACUAUGGAGUAACUAACUGGCCUAAUCAUGACAUGUGUACUGAGUGUACCCAUAAUUGUCCUCGGAGUCCCAUCAUAAGCUCUAACAGUCUGUGUAGAAGGCCCAAAAUCAUCUGGUGAAAACCCAAGCGCAAUGGCAGUAACCAAUGGACAGACGUUCAGGGCAGAGCCAUUGUCCAAUAGAACAGACGACACCCAACGGCCUAAACAAGCAACAUCAAUGAAUAAGGGUCGAACAUGAUUUGAUCCCUCUGGUGGCAAGUCAUCAUCAGAAAACAUUAUACAUGUAGCUCUAUUAGCUGUCAACAUGUGAAUAAGCCCCUCUGGGGUAGUAGCAGUGUCAACCCUAAUCUAGCCAAGGGCUCUGACUAAUGCAUCUCUGUGUGUACUAGAUGAGGCCAAAAGGCUCCAAAUGGAUAUGCGAGCCUGAGUAGUGCGUAACUGGCGUAAUAUCUCAUCAUCUUCUCUCUGAACCUCCUCUCUAGCAGCUAUACCAGCAAAUGGCCUGUCAACGGGUGGAGGUUGUGCUACCCUUCCACUCCAUGUAACUAUCUGAACAUCUCUAUGAGGGGGCCUAUAUUCCUCUGGGAACAGAAUGAAGGGUGUCAUAGGUGGCACAUGCUGUAAGUAUACUAGUGAUACUGGAGGCGGCCCAUAAAUCUUGUCCGAGGUCAAAUUGAAUGGCCUGGGGAUCUGCUGUCUAGGUAUAUAUCCAACAAAAUCUGACUCCUCAUAUAGACUGAUCGGCUGAGGAGCCUCUCCAUCCCAACCCAUCAUAAAUAUCUCAUCCCCUGCAAACUCAAUCAAAUGUACCCCUUCCGGGGGUGGAGGUACCGCUCUAGUGUCAUGAGUAGGUAGCGGGUCUGUGGCUACACCCGGGCGCCCCAAAUCAACCAAGCCCUGAUCAAUCAAAUCCUGAAUGGCAUGUCUCAGUGCUGAACAACUGUCUGUAUCAUAGCCUGCUCUCUGAUGGUAGGCACAGUGAAGAUCUGUCCUGAAUCCUGGGGGGGUAGGCUGUAGUGGUGGUCUAGGCGGUAGUGGGGCAAUCAGUCCCCUCUCAACCAAUCUCUAAAAAGCUCGGCUCAGUGGCAUCCCAAGCUGUGUGAAUUUUCUAACUGGCCUUGGUGGAGGCGGUGCUCUAUACUGAUGAUGGAACUGCAUAGGCGGCCUCUGGGGUGCCUGUGUAGCAUAUACCGGCUGUGGUGGCGGAUGUAGAUAAGUAGGCCCUACUGGCCUAAUGGGAGCAACUGGUCUGUAUUGACCAUGCUGUAUCAUCUGAUAAGGAGUGCCUAAAAACUGACUUUGAAACAAAGGACGACGUGAAGACCGGUGUCCUGUCAUGCCAAUAGUACCAACAUCUGAGGACCUUGAUUACUACUCAAAAAGUGCUAUUUGAUAGCCUAUAAUUAAUCCUUUUAAACACUUUUGAGUAGUAGUUUUGGCCUUUUAACUCAAUUGGCAUGUUAAGGACCCUUGAAAGCAAUUUUGAUCACUUUGUGUAAGUUUUGGUGUUUUUGUUAGUAUUUUGAUCACCAAAGCAAGUCAAGACUGAGGAGAGCUAUGAGGAAUCUUGGGCAAAGCUUAGAAGUCAUUUUCCAAGAGUAAAUCCGGAUUGCAAGGAGAAAAAGUAAAGAGAAUCUGCCAUAAAGCAUAUUCUUGAUGACAGUCGUAGCAGCCACUUUUGGAGCACUUUGUGAAGUCCAAAUGAUGCAUGCUAUAUACCAUUUCAAAUCUCAGGAAGUCAAAAAUCCAAUGCUUCAAACGGUGUGCAAUUCGGAGUUGAAACGAAGAAGUUGCAGCCAUUACAAGCCAAUCACUCCGAGCUGAAGGAAGCAUUUUGCAAAGUGUUGCGAAAUCACCCUUUUGUUGCGAAGUGAUUUCGCAGCCUUUUUGAACAGUGUAAUGUUUCUCCUUCUGACGAUGCCCGAUUUAUGCCGCGAGAAGGAAGCUUGGAACCUCAAGGUGGAAGCCAACUUCGCAGCCCUGCGAGUUUAGCUUGGUGUUGCGAAAUUAUUUCGCAGCCCUCUUGAGUGUCUGCGAAAUCUCGCAGACACCAUUUUCUCUUGCGAAAUGGUUCCUGAAGCCUCCCGAUAUUUGCUACCGACAUUGGGAGAUAUUUUCCAUUAGAUUUUUGUUGUCUAAAUCCCAAAAUACUCCUUGUAAACCACCAAUUACAAGAUUCCUUAGCUUUUAAGUUAGUAAAAAGACUAAAUAUCUAUGUAAUAAUUAGUUUUAUAUUAUGUUCAUAUAUAUACCUCUCGGGAGCCUGUUCUCGAAGAGGAGAUCCUUUUGUAAAAGUUUUGGUAAGCAAGUAAAGUUUAUUUUCUUUCUACUGCCUUACCUUCUCACUUUGUAUUUUUAUUUUAUUUCUAAGUUAUGAAUUCUCUGAGGAGUUUUCCCCAGAGAAUGAGUAACUAAACCUCUAAUUCCUUGGAGCUAAGGUUGCCGGGGAAGGUUCCAAGUGCAAGAAUGCAAAGCUUUGUGGUUUUAGCUAUUAAUGAAGAGGAAGUGAAAUCCUUUAGUGAUUUCUAUGUUUUUAGUUAACUUAAAACACCUUAGAGUCACCUGGGCCAACACUUGGUAAGGCAAGUGAUUUCCAACCAUGGAAAUGCACUAGUUUACCCCUUGCGAGCCUCUGGGAGGUGACUUCAAGGUAGGAUUUUCUAGAAUAGCCAACACUUGGUAAGCUUUUGGACUCCAAGGAGACAUCCAUUAGUUAUCUCUUACGAGCUUUUGACGGGUAAUCCAAGGUUAAAGAUCACCUUGAAUGGUUAAGGCUUAGUGAGAGACUUAAACCAUUGCAAGUUGCAUCAGUGAGAGAAUUAAAGUGAAAUCUAAUUGAAGGAGUCUCUGUACAACACCGGUUAGAGAAUUGACUAUAUGUUGAAUCUCUAACACGAGGAAAUGAACCAUCUGACCGGAGCUAUGUCUUUUGCAUGAAGAACCACCCCAGUGAACCUAACUCUCCAGGGAAUGCUUUUCUUCCUAAAUUAUUCCAAACUUCUGUUAUGUUAGUUAGUUUAAGUCUAAACCUUUACCAAUCAAAGUUUGUGUUUUACUUCUUAAGCUAACCAUGAAAUGAAACAAAACCAAUUCACUUGGAAUUGGUAUCAUUGAGAGCUUGUUAAUCUUUCCCAGUGGACGAUCCUAGAGCCACUAUACUAUAGUAGCUUUUUCUUUGCUACCCUAGUAUAUGGUGUUAUAGGUUAUAAAUUUUGUUGAUUACUCCCUCAAUCAAGGAGCACCAGCUGGACACAAAUCAGCUGAGACACCAAUUGGGCACGAAUCAGGCCUGGGGCUUGAUCCCUACUUCUUCCCCUUUGAGUCUGAAGGGGAAGAAUCUGCCCAUAAACCUCUAGAUAUACCAUCCUCAAUGCAUAGAGGGCUUGCACUAAUGAGCCAAAGUCUGUCUGAGGGAAGCCCAUGAGAUGCCUAGCAAAGCGGGGUUGAAGGCUGCGCAUAAUCAUACUGAUCUGAUCGUGCUCUGAAGGUCUAUCAAUAAUAUGUGCUAUCUUCUCCCUCCAACAGAAGAUGAAUGAAGUGACUGUCUCAUCCGGCCCCUGCCUAAGGGCCUCUAACUCCCUCCGGGAUAUAUCCACUAUAGUAUUGAAAGAAUACUGUCUAAUAAACUCCUGUCCCAAAUCAGCCCAUGUCCUACGUCUCGAAGGGUCCAAUGAGGCAAACCAACGUUGAGCAGCACCACUCAAUGACAGAGGGAAUAACAUAAUCAUUUAUGCCUCAUCCAGUCUAUGCCCGCGCAUAACAGUGUUGUAUAACUACAAGUGAAUACGGGGGCACCCUAUCCCCAUGUAUCUCUCAAUGUCCGGCAUGCGGAACUCAACAGGCAAAGCUGCUACUGGCAUAUCAUCAUAUCCAUCCCAACCCAUAAUCCCAUCAGAAACAUGUAGUGAUCUCAUUCUCUGCUCAAUCCUAUCAAUACGAGCCUGGGUAUCAUCAACAAUCUGUGUCGGUGCCACAACAAAAUGCGGCGUAGUCUCAGUCUGACCAUGCAACACAAAUGCUCUAGCCUGGGGAGCUGACUGAACCAGUGGUGGUGGUGGUGGUGGUAGUGGAACUAUGUAGUCCUACUGUAUAGUAGGUUCAGAUGGCCCAGAUGGUGGUGGUGGUGGUGGUGUGGUAGAGUCAUGCAGGGUGCUCCCCGGAAUCGGCAAUGGUUGGGCCUGGUGCCCAUCAAUCCUCUGACCCAAUCCUAAGAUAGUGUCCCUAAGUGACGCCAUGGUAUCGGUAAUCUCAGCCAACUAGUCAACGGUAGCGUACUGAGGGUCUAUAUCUCUAUGAUCUGGUAUCUACUCUAACUGGCUGGGUGAAUCCGAUCCUCUAACCAGUCUAUCUCCAAUCCGGAUCCAAGCUCGGGAACCCAGGUCGAUCUCAAUCAAUAAUCCUAUAAAAGGAAAGGGGUACGUCAGUCCCCGUGACUAUCAAUCCUGAAAUCAAACUAGGAACGUAUAACUAAAAUCUUCCGAGAGAAUGAACUGACAUGUGAUGUCAAUAGCUAAACUGAUAUACAGUUCCACAGGCAGGAACGAGAUUCUGACAUGGUGAUACCUCAGGGGUAAUAUGGCUCAAAAGUAAAAAAAAAAAAAGAGAAAAGGCAAGUCCUAAAAGACUAGAUGACUGUACCCACAAGGAUACGCAACCUAAGGUCCUAACUAACAAUCAAUCAACAAUCAAAGUGACAUGCUGGCCACGCAUGUAUCCAUGAAAUCCAGCUCAGGGCUAUACAGGUCUUCAUUGCUCAGAUAUCCAUCUUUUCCAUAGUGCUCCCAAACAUCGAUAUAGCCUUUAUGCUAGACCCUAUUCCAAACCCCUAGCUUGGUCGAAGGCGAACAAUUGGGAAUGACUCCCAAGAAACACAAGCAAUCCAUGAGGAAUAGUUGACCAAGACUAGUGAUUCGGAAGUAAGGGGAUACACAUGUGCCCCACAAACACAAGCAGCAAGCAGUCAUGCAAGGGAAUGAGCAGUCAUACAGCAAAUAGUCAUGCACAAAGAGAUAGCCUACCACACAUCUACACACAAUCUAAUCAUCUAAGUCUAAUCCCAAAUGUCAUAGCUAGAUACCAAACAACAAUGAGCAAGCAUGCUAGAAUCCAACAGGUGAACACACAAGCAACAACACAUCAUAGGUGCAAUCCAAAUACCAGCCAACUACGUGAUCAUCAGUCAUCUAUGUAGCCUAAGAGUCUACUUAUCAAUGAACCAUGUGCUCCGAUAUACCCAACUCAAGUUCAAGCUUGAUCCUCUUAUGAAACCAGAGAUUCUGGGUUCGAUCCCCAGUGGAGUCGCCAAUUUGUGGACCCUCACCCGAUCCACCGGACCGAUGCGACUCGCUUUUAAAAGAAAAGAAAGAAAUGAAAAAGUUGGUGUCUUCCAAUUUUGAAAAACCUGCCCCCAGUGAGGAACGGUGUUGUUUGGAGUCACCACUUACUUUUUAUUUUUGUUUUUUAAAAUGGGGAAAAUUAAGUAAGAACAAAAACCCCUAAUGACCCUAGUAUGGAAAAAACGGUCUGCGAAAACUAGAUUCUGGGUCCGGGGAUCAGGUUACCUGUUGGGAAGGUACCUCAUGCGAGGUAGCACCCUUCUAGGCCCGAAACUCGGUCUCUACUAAUGAAUUGGGUAUGUGGGAGCAUAUGGGUCAAAGGUCAAAUGAAACCCUAGGCUAAAUAGAUGUCAUGAAUCACACAAUCCUAAUUGGUAUUUGGAAUGCAUAUGAAUUCAACCAAACAAAACAAUGGGUGCGUACCUGUGGUCCCUAGCCAAACGCUGCAUAAAAGGUCAGCCAAACACAUAUAAACACAUAACAAACAUUCAAGAUUAAGCACCAUGCAUGCAUAUGAAUUCAACAACCAAAGCCAACGAUGCGUACCUGUGGUCCCUAGCCAAGUGCUGCAGCAGAGGGUGAGUUAGUCACGCAACAUGUAUUCAAAAUCAAUCAUCAAAGCUUGUGCCAAAAAGGAAGAUAGUUGGUUGAAAUGAGGUAAGGGACUCACCAAAUGUCAUACAAAUCGAACUAGACUCAUCUAGACCACACCACCCAUAACUUCAAAAUUGCCCAUACUAACUGAAAUCAAACACUGACUUAAACCUUCAAGAUGGCUCACAAGUACCCUAUAGCAAAUGGGUUUGAGCCCCCCAUGGAUAAGGGCUCCAAAAAUGCUAAAAUCGAGGGCUACCUAAAGUCCUCCAGCAGAACAGGUUGAACUAGUUCUCAACUGGUACAACCUAUUGAGAAGAACUCCCAAAUUUUUCUAGAAAACUCCUAAAUGAGUGAGGAUUCAAACAAAAGAAACGACACUCAAUCCCGAGCCCAGAUGAGUGAGAACCAGACAAAGAAAGGCAGGUGUUCCUCAUGGCUGACAGAGGCUGCCAGCUAUGGUGCUGAACUGGUUGAACCGGUUCCAAACCGGUUCAGCCAGUUGGUAAAAAAUCCCAAAUUCGGUCAUAAAAUUCCUAAGUGAUUAAGAAAGCAAACAAAAGAAACGGUUCUCAAUUCCGAUCCUGGAUGAGUGAGCACCAGACAAAGAAAGGCAAGUGUUCCUCAUGGCUGAUAGAGGCUGCCAGCUAUGGUGCUGAACCGGUUCCAAGCCAGUUCAGUCGGUUGGUAAAAAAUUCCAAAUUCGAUCAGAAAAUUCCUAAGUGAUUAAGGAAGCAAAAAAAAAAAGAAACGGUUCUCAAUUUCGAGCCCGGAUGAGUGAGAACCAGACAAAGAAAGGCAAGUGUUCCUCAUGGCUGACAGAGGCUGCCAGCUAUGGUGCUGAACCGGUUGAACCGGUUCCAAGCUGGUUCAUCCGGUUGGUAAAAAAUCCCAAAUUUGGUCAGAAAGUUUCUAAGUGAUUAAGGAAGCAAACAAAAGAAACGGUUCUCAAUUCCAAGCCCGGAUGAGUGAGAACCAGACAAAGAAAGGCAAGUGUUCCUCAUGGCUGAUAGAGGCUGCCAGCUAUGGUGCUGAACCGGUUCCAAGCCAGUUCAGCCGGUUGGUAAAAAAUCCCAAAUUCAGUCAGAAAAUUCCUAAGUGAUUAAGGAAGCAAAAAAAAGAAACGGUUCUCAAUUCCGAGCCCGGAUGAGUGAGAACCAGACAAAGAAAGGCAAGUGUUCCUCAUGGCUGACAGAGGCUGCCAGCUAUGGUGCUGAACCGGUUCCAAACAGGUUCAGCCGGUUGGUAAAAAAUCCCAAAUUCGGUCAGAAAGUUCCUAAGUGAUUAAGGAAGCAAACAACAACAAUCAUGUGUGGCCUUUAUGAUCCACACCCAAGCAAUACAAUCUUCAUAUCAAAGGGAAGAAAAGAUGAUGAGGAAGGAGAAAAAGCAUAUGAAGACGAGGAAGAUAAACUGUAAGUAAAGAAAAUUCAGCAUGCUUACCUCAGAAUCUCCACCAAAUAUGAUCUGUGUAUACAGAUGAAGACUUCCAAAACUGAGAUGCUGUCACUCUCCUCUUCAAAAAACCACAGUGCUGAAGCUUUCCCCCACGCUCUCAACUUAGAAGAUGCUACUGACCUUUUGUUUUUCUCACCAGCAAAAUUUCCCCUCUCCAAAAUGUCCCCUCCUCCUUUGCUCUCCUAUCCUCUCACCUUUUAUACUCAUACCCCUCUUAGCAUUUGAGCCUCCUGGAUUCCUUCCCCUUCAGCACCAAAAUCCCCUUCAUCAACAUGGGAACCACACCCCUCAUUACUUCUCUUAAACUUACAAGGCCAGCUCACUCCUUCAGUUUUCAGCUUGCUUCACCACCAAGAAUCCAUAUGGAUUCGUGGUGGGCUGCAAGGAACCCAAACCAAGGCCCAAAAUGGACCCACAACAUUACCCAAAACUGAUCUAGAGCUUACGGGCCUGAGCCAUGUAGGAUUUGGGCCUCAAAAUUACUAGAAUUAGUGUUUUACCUCAGCUGACUCAAUGAACCGGCUGAACCGGCUGAACCGGAUGCCAACUGGUCGAACCAAUGGAAAAAAAUUCUGAAAAUUUGACAGAAUGUUCCUAGUAGAGUAAGGAAUCCACUUAAAAAAAAAGGUGCAUGAUUCCAAGUUCGGAAGAGGGAGAUAUGAUAAAAAAAAUUACCAAAAAUCAGUGUUCUACACCGGCUGACUCGAUGAACCGGCUGAACGUGCUGCCAACCAGCCGACCGGAUGCAAAAAAUUUUGAAAAUUUUACAGAAUGUUCCUGGAAGAAUAAGGAAUCCAUAAAAAGAAACGGUUCUUGAUUCCGAGUUUGGAUGAGGGAGAUACGUUCAAAACAAGCCCGAGUGCUCCGAACCUCAACAUGCCCUUAUAAACUCCAACUAAGCUAAGACAUCGGGAUGACCCCACUUCCUUCCUAUAGCGUGAUGUGAACGACUAGGAAAAUGGCCAUGGUGACCCUCCAAAAUGAACCACAUAUGCACCACAAUGGACCACAGACAAACCCACACGAGGCUCGGACACCGACUAAGCCCAAAAGGGGCCCUAGUGGUGCCAUAUGCGAACGAUGGGUGGAUGUGACACCCGAAGGAUAAAUGCCAGUGUCGAGGGACAAAAUUGAGGGUCUACAAUAUAUUUCUUAAUUUGAACAAUUAAGUAAUAUUAAGUCUUAUCAAGAUUAAAUAAAAAUAAAAAUAAUAAUAAUAAUAAUAAUUCUCUAAAAGUGAAGCAAAGGAAUUGAUAUAAUAAUCACUAAAAUCUCAAAUAAAUAAUAUAAGUAAUUAACUAAAAUCUGAUUGUUAUUAUUUAUAAUUUGAAAUAUCCUAGUAAGCCAUAUUAUCACUCAUAAUUUAAAUAAAUAAAUAAAAACUAACAUAAUAGUUGUGGCUUGGGCCUACCCAAAAACCAUCCGCUAAGUCGGGUCGGUUUGGGCCAGGAUUAAAAGCCCAACUAGCCUAAUAAUAAUAAUAAUAAUAAUUAAAUUAAUGAAAAAUAAACUAACAUAAUAGUUGUGGCCUGGGCCUACCCAAAAACCAUCCGCUAAGUCGGGUUGGUUUGGGCCAAGAUUAAAAGCCUAACUAGCCUAAUGGCUCAGCUAGCUUAAAUAGCCCAACAGGUAAAAUGGGGAAUAAAAUGUGAGAGAACAAUCCACGAGGAGUGGAGGCAGUUAACACUUAAGGCGGUAACUAUUUGGAGUGGCCAAAAGGUGCUUUUGUGAUCUCCAUACCAAUCAAUAGCUAAAAAUUAUAUGAAUGCAAGAAAAAUAGGGACACGAAAAAAAUAUGACAUUUUCUAAAAGAAAAACCCUAGAUAACUUAAUCAUUAGAGUGAUCCUAGGGAAAAACCAGACUAGCCUUGUGUGGCAGGUACAAGGAAGCGUGCAACAAGAAGAGGAUAAUUGCUCAAGAAAUUCUCAACUCCAACAAGUGGCAGUUAACACUUGAGGCGGUAAAAGUUUGGAGUGGCCAAAAAGUGCUCCUGUGAUCUCCACGCCAAUUGGUAGCUAAAAGGUAUAUGAAUGCAAUAAAAUUAAGGACAAUAUACAUAUAUAUAUAUAUAUAUAUAUAUAUAUAUAUAUAUAUAUAUAUAUAUAUAUAUAUAUUGUUAGUCCAAGGAUUCUCCUAAUCAGGUUUUGAUGAUAACAAACCAUUGUUAAGUUACUAAAUGGUUUGAUUUAUAAAGAAUUUCAGGUGUUAAUUUGAAAAUUCAUCAAAUGACCUAAUGAAUGCAAGAUCAAGACCUUUGGAAGACCUUUAAUCAUAGGAAACAUAUGGAAGAUGAAUGAAUGGGUGUACUUAGGUUUUACAUAUCAUUUCAUGCAUAUUUCAAAAACUCGGUUUAUUAUUUAAAGUUACAGUUUCAUCAAAACCCGAGUUUUAUCAAAUGAACCUUAGGCAAAUCUUUUUCAAAAUUAGCAUGUUAAUUUACCUAAAGACCUUGCCUAAGUAUUAGAAGAGAAAAGAAUAGAAAAAAAAUAGGUUUUCGGGCAAAAAAUGGUGAACCAGUUGAGGCACUGGCCAACCGGCUCAAUCGAUUAGGGGUGUCGAUCGGCCAAUUCCCUUUUCCCGAUCGAGGUCCGGUCAAGAUGAGCAAAAAACACUUUCUCUCUUCCAGUAGACUUUUCUUCCAAGUUGAGGGCCGGUCGAGGGUAAUGGUCAUUUACCAAGCAUUAAAUGCUCCAAUGGCUAGUGAACCGGUCAACCCCUAGCUCGACCGGUUGAGACUACUUUUUGGUUUUCUUGACUCCCGAGGUUAGAAACCUAUAAAUAGAGAGCUUCGCUUCAUUUAUGAGUAAGAGAACACCUGCAUUUAUUCAUCUACCCACUUGUUCUUGCCUUAAAAGCUCUCAUUCUUUUCUUGGUGCAUUAAAUCCCCAUUUGCAUAUUCUUUAGUGCACCUUUGUGAUUCAUCCCAGCCUUAAGUUGUAUUUGAGAUAUUGUUGAGCUAGGUUGAGAGAUUCAUUCUUGUUAAUUGAGUGUUAAAGCCUUCAAGUGAGUUGAAACUUGAAGAGAUUGUGUAAAAGCCCACUGGAGUCGGAAUCCAAGUGUAAAGGUGAUUAGAAGCUUCAAGGUAAUGGAACCCUCACUUGGUUAGGAGCUUGAGGAGAGUGGACAUAGGUAAUGAAGUGCUAAACCACUAUAAAAUCUGAGUUUGAUUUCUCUAACUCUAUCUCUUUAUAUUUGCUUUUCUUGUGCUUAAAUUUGUUGUGUUUAAUUUUUUUUUCUAAAAAAAAAAAAACCCAAUUCACCCCCUUCUUGGGUGUUUUUCUCAUUUAAGAUUAGCCUUUAUUUUCUCAAUUGGUAUCAGAGCUAGACCUCUUGUUUAAGACUUAAUCAUCUAAGAAGAAAUGGCUAAUCUUGAGCUCAUUUCACAUUGAAAUUUUUGCAAAAAAUAAACCUCCAUUUUUUACAGGAACCGAUUAUCUCUAUUAGAAAACUAAAAUGACUUGGUUUUUACAAUCAACCAAUUUAGACAUAUGAGAUGUCAUUGAAGAUGGCCCAACUUUUCCUUCAAAACUAGUUGACGGAGUCAUGGUUCCAAAACCCAAGCAAGAAUGGGAUGAGUGUGAUAGAAGAAAUUUUCAAUUAAAUGCUAAGGUCGUUUAUGCUUUGCAAUGUUGUAUGGAUAGAAAUGAAUAUAGUAGAAUAUGUCAAUGCAAAUCGGCUAAAGAAAUUUGGAGAUUGCUUGAAAUAACUCAUGAAGGAACAAAUCAAGUGAAAUAGUAAAAAAUCAAUUUACUUGUUCAUAGCUAUGAAUUGUUUUUUUUUUUAAAGAUAAUGAGACUAUUGUUGAGAUGAUCACUAGGUUCAUCGACAUUGUCAAUGGUCUUAAAGCCUAGGGAAAGACCUAUAAUGAAUCUAAAAAGAUAAUGAAGAUCUUGAGGUCACUUCCAUCAAUGUGGCAUACAAAAGGUCACCGCAAUUCAAGAAGCCAAAGACUUGAUCAAGCUACCUUUAGAGGAGCUCAUAGGGUCAUUGAUGACAUAUGAGAUCAAUUUGGAAAAUAAGCAACAAGAAGAUGAAGACAAAAAGAAGAAGAGCAUAACUCUCAAAGCUACAACUAAGGAAGAAGAAGAAGUUGAAGAAGAAAAACAAAGUGAAGAAUAUGAAGAUUUAGCCCUCAUCAUAAGAAAGUUCAACAAAUUCAUGAGGGAUGAAAGGUUUAGAAGAAUAAGGUUCACUUUUAGAAGAGGCUUUUCUAAAAAGGAAUCUUCAUCUCAUGGUGACAAGGAGAGAUGCGAAGAGAAAAGAGACUUGGUGUGUUUCAAAUGCAAGAAACCGAGACACAUUAAAUAUGAUUAUCCUCUCUACAAAAGUGAAGCCAAGAGGAGAAAAAAAGAAGGCAAUGAUGACCACUUAGAGUGAAAGUGAAGAAUCCUCCGAAGAAGAAAAUGAGAAAGGAGUGGCAAACAUAUGCUUCAUGACAAUAGAUGAACUUGAUGAGGUAAACUCUAACCUUAGUGAUGAAAAUAUACAUGAUGCAUUUGAAGAAUUGUAUGAGGAUUUUGAAAAACUUAGUUGAAAAAUAUUUCUCUUAAAAAGAAAGUUCAACAACUUGAAAAAGAACUUGGAGAAGUAAAAGAAAAAUUUUCAAAUGUCGAAAUUUCUAAAACUCAUCUCGAAAAAGAAAAUGAGAUUCUAAUAAAGAAAAAUGAAUGGUUGACCUCCUUUCUUUCAAUAUUUUCUUGUGGACAAAAAUCUUUUGAAAUGAUUCUAGCUAGCCAAAAAUACGUUUUUGACAAACAAGGGCUAGGAUUCAAAUCUUCAAAAAAUCAAAGUAUUUUAAAAACUAUUUUGUAAAGGAAUCCACAAGUACAAAUCUUUCCACUAUUGGCAACUUUUGUGGAAGAGAAGGGCACAUUAGUAAUACACGUCCUUUAAGGAAUGGUUCUCAAAAGAAUUCAAAUGCAAAAGUUAAAAAGAUUUGGAUUGAAAAAUCCAAGGUCACUAACCCUCAAGGACUCAAAAAGAUAUGAUACCUAAAUCAACUUGAGUUUUAUGUUGUAGGGUUCAAAGAAGGAUAAGUGGUUCUUGGAUAGUGGAUGCUCAAGACACAUGAUCAAGGAUGAAUCCAAAUUUGCUUUUCUUACAAAGAAAAAUGGAGGAUAUGUUAUCGUUGGAGACAAUGCAAAAGGAAGGAUCAUUGGUCAAGGCAACAUUGGUAAUGACACAUCCUCUCUCAUUGAAAGUGUUUUAUUAAUAGAUGGUUUAAAACAUAACCUUUAAAGCAUUAGUCAACUUCGUGACAAAGGUUUUAAAUUAACUUUUGAAGUAUCUCAUUGCAUCAUCAAAGAUAUUCAAAAUGAUAAAACCAUCUUCAUGGGCCAUAAAUGUGAUAAUGUUUACACUAUAAAUAUUUCAAAAUAUGAUGGCCAUGAUAGAUGCUUUUCAAGCAUGCAUGAUCAAAGUUGGUUAUGGCAUAGGAGGUUGGGACAUGCUAACAUGGACCUCAUUUCUCAACUCAACGAAGAUGAACUUGUUAGAGGCUUUCCCAAAAUAAAUUUUCAAAAAGAUGAAGUUUGUGAAGCUUGUCAAGUAAGAAAGCAAAUAAAAAACUCUUUCAUAAACAAAAACUUCAUUUCCACAUCUAGGCCACUUGAGUUGUUGCAUAUGGAUUUAUUUGGUCCCUCUAGAAUACCAAGUCUUGGAGAAAAGUCUUAUGCAUAUGUUAUUGUAGACGACUUCUCUAGAUACACAUGGGUCUUGUUUUUAAGUCAAAAGAAUGAAGCCUUUUAUGAGUUGUCAAAGUUUUGCAAUAAGGUUCAAAAUGAAAAAGGUUUUUCAAUUACUAGUAUAAGAAGUGAUCAUAUGAGAGAAUUUGAAAAUAUUGAUUUUGAAGAAUAUUGCAAUGAGCAUGGAAUUGACCAUAAUUUUUCAGCUCCUAGAACUCCUCAAUUAAAUGGGGUAAUUGGAAGGAAAAAUAAAACUCUUCAAGAGAUGGCAAGAACCAUGCUAAAUGAAAAUAACUUACCAAAAUAUUUUUGGGAUGAAGCGGUUAACACUUCUUGUUAUGUUUUAAAUAGAAUAUUAUUGAGGCCCAUUCUUAAGAAAACUCCCUAUGAGCUUUGGACAAACAAGAAGCCCAACAUUAGCUAUUUCAAAGUCUUUGGAUGCAAAUGUUUUAUAUUAAACACCAAAGACAAUCUUUGAAAAUUUGAUGCAAAAUUGGAUGUUGGAAUUUUCCUUGGUUACUCAACUUUAAGUAAAGCUUUUAGGGUGUUUAACAAAAGAACCAUGAUUGUAGAGGAGUCUAUCCAUGUUAUUUUUUAUAAAUCUAACAAAUUUCUCCAAGAAAGAGAGAGUUUUGAUGAUGAUUUAGGUUUGGAGACCUCCAUGGGAAGAUUGCAAAUUGAAGAUAGAAUACAACAAGAAGAAAAUGGAGAGGAUCCUAAGAAAGAAGGAUCACCAUUGGCACUACCCCCUCCUCAACAAGUGCAAGGUGAAUCAAGCCAAGACCUUUCUAAAGAAUGAAAGUUUGUCAUCAAUCACCCACAAGAUCAAAUUAUAGGUAAUCCAUCUAGUGGGGUAAAAACUAGAUUCUCUCUUAGAAAUAUUUGCAAAAAUCUAGCUUUUAUCUCUUAAAUUGAGCCUAAAAAUAUAAAUGAUGCUUUAGAUGAUGAAAAUUGGAUGAUUGCUAUGCAACAAGAGUUAAAUCAAUUUGAAAAAAGUGAAGUAUGGGAAUUAGUACCAAGACCUUCAAAUCAAAGUGUUAUUGGAACUAGAUGGGUCUUUGGAAAUAAAAUGGAUGAAAAUGGCAUAAUUGUUAGAAAUAAAGCAAGAUUGGUAGCCCAAGGUUUUAAUCAAGAAGAAAAAAUAGAUUAUGAAGAAACCUUUGCCCCUGUAGCUAGGUUGGAAGCCAUUAGGAUGCUACUUGCCUUUGCAUGUUUUAAAGACUUUGUUUUAUAUCAAAUAGAUGUGAAAAAUGCUUUUUUAAAUGGUUUUAUAAAUGAAGAAGUAUAUGUUGAACAACCACCCGGCUCUCAAAGUUUCAAUUUUCCUAACCAUGUUUUUAAGCCUAAAAAGGCACUUUAUAGUUUGAAACAAGCACCUAGAGCAUGGUAUGAAAGAUUGAGUAAAUUUCUUUUGAAAACAGGUUUUAAAAUGGGAAAAAUUGACACAACUCUUUUCAUAAAAACUAAAGAAAAUGAUAUGCUCUUAGUUCAAAUAGAUGUUGAUGAUAUCAUUUUUGGUGCUACUAAUGUCUCUCUUUGUGAAGAAUUUUCUAAGUUCAUGCAUAGCGAGUUUGAAAUGAGCAUGAUGGGAGAACUCAAUUUCUUCCUUGGGCUUCAAAUCAAGCAACUAAAGGAAGGCCCAUUAGACACCACACUAGGUCCAUUUAGUCACUUUAGGCCCAUUAGGCACCAUCCUAGGCCCACUUAGGCACCCUAGGCCCAUUUAGGCACCCUUAGCCCAUUUAGGCACCUUAGACAUGAAUGCAUGGUUGCAUGGCUUCAUGGCUCACGUUUUUGCAUGAGAGAUUUAUCAUUGGAGAGUUUGGAUUCUUUAGGAAAGGAAACUUGGAGGCUGUGAUUGAGAGAUAUUUAGUCCACGUUUGAAAAUAAUAAUAAUAAUAAUAAUAAAGAAAGGAAAGAGAGACCCGGGAUGGAAAGAUAGGAAGAUGCUUUUUUAGGCCAUGAGGUAGACAGAGAGUGAGUCCACGUUUAAAGAAGAUGGGGAAAGUGUAGCCGCAUGAUUGAAGGAAAAAAUAUGAUUUUUUGGGCAAGGAGGAGCAGAUAUGGGGAGAAUUGACAAAACAUUUUAUGGUGAGCUGAAUGAAUCUGACUUUCGGGAAAGAUACAAAGAGGUUUUGAAAGGCAUUAUGCGGAUUUUGAGGUGUGAUAUUCAGAGUUUUAUUUAGAAAGAAAUGAGAGUUUUGGGAUAGAGAAGAUUCAGUCGGAAAAGUGGAGGAAGAGGGAGAUUUCUAGAGGGAGAGAGGACUGAAAGAAAAAAAAAAAAAAAAACAAGGGUAAUUUGGAGAGGCCACACCUUGAGAGAUUUUUUUCGAGAACAAUCGCACGAAGUGAAGGAAGAGAAGAGGUGAUAUGGAGAAGCGACACCAAGUGAAGGAAAGAGAAAGGUGAUCUGGAGAGGCCGCACCCUUGAGAGAUUUUCCGGAAGAGCCGCACCAUUGAGAGGAAGAAGGAUCUUCAUCCAAUUGUACUGUUCUUCAAGCAAGCAUUUUUUGAGGAAUCAUAUAAACUAUGCAUGCUAUCCAGGUACGCUCUCUAUCACUUAUGUUUUGAAAUUUUAUGAAUAUGCAUGUUGUUGUGAAUUUUAUUUAUUCUUGAUGUGAUCCUUAGGUGCUUAGAUGUAUGCUUGAUUGCCUUAAUAUAUGUUUGAUUGUUUGAUUUGCCCUUAUUAAAAAAAAUGUUGUGUGUUAUACUUCCAAACUAAUUUUGAUGUGUUGUAAUAACGCUUAAGAAGCAGUCCAGGUACGCACCCUAAAUUUCCUUUAUGAGUAUGAUUGGUUUUUCUUGUUUGGCAUGCUAGUUUGAAAUCACCUUAGCCUACCUAGGUAUCCAUGAUCAACUAGUUAAUUACCACAUUUCCCUCAACUUCGUCAAUAGAGACCUUUGUAGGGCUUAGAGGGGUGCUAUCUCUUAGAGGUACCUUCCCAAUAAGUAACCUAAUCCUCGGACCUAGACUCAAGUUUUUUAAAGACACGGUUUUCUAAAAACUAUGGAGUCACUUCUUUAGGGUUUUCUUUCUUGUUUUAUUUUCCCUUUAAAAUAAAAUAAAAUAAGUGGCAACUCCGAUUUUUCCAAAAACAAUUUUUUCACAAAUAAAAAGCGAGUCUCGUAGAUCGAGUGGGGGCACAUGUGAAAAAUGUUGGUCCACAAAUUGAAAACUCCGUUGGGGAUUUUGAGAAUCAAGCUUGAACACUAGUUGAGGAAAAUGUGGCGUUUAAUUGGUCGAUUAGAGAGUACCUCUGUUUUUUUUAGGCAAGAUGAUUCAGUUUGCUUGCUUGAUUGGCUCGCUAUCUUAACAUGUUUGAUUGCCUUGAAUGAUCACUUAACUAUUUCGUUCACUUCAACAUGAUUCACUCUCACAUAUGCUAGAUAGGAAUUUUUUUGUAUGACGCUUAUCUGCUUCGCAUGACUGCUUGUUGCAUGACAAUCCUCUCCCUUGCAUGAUUGUAUGAUUGCUUAUCUCUGUUCACUAUCUCACUUUAGAUCUUUGGUUUUUUCGGAUGCACCUAUAUCCUUCACUAUGCACUUUAGAUUAUCCCUGAGUGUUAAGAGAUGUGAGAGCCUUCACCGUUAGGAAACCCCUUGGGAAUGCUAGGAAGUGCAUGUGUGAAGGUGAUGACCACCUUGCAUGGAAGCACCCCGUUUUCUUGGAGAGUGUAGAGGGUUGCGUAUUGAUUCGACUCAUGGUAGCUUAGCUUUAAAGGCGUAUCAACAAAAUUUAUACCUUGAAUACUAUUACUAAAGUAGCCAAACUACUAUAGCAUAGUGGUUCUAGGAUCGUUCACUGGGAAGGGUUUUCGCAAACACAAGUGAUAUUCAAAUUAGGAAAAUAGGUGAUUUUCUUAUGGAUGUUAGCUUUAAAAGAAGAUGUAAAUGUUUUAGAAAGAUUUAAACUAAUCUAAGCUAACAUUAAAGACUAAAAUGAAAGGGUGUAAAAACAAGUUUCUCAAAGAUAGGAUAGCUAUGCUCUGGCUCUUAUGCAAAUUGGAAAUCUCAGGAUAGGCUCCUCGCGUUGGGGUUGCAACUAUGGUGAUGCUUGCUUCUCGAACCGGUAUGGAUUUAGCAAAUCAAGUUUUAAUCCUUUAAAAUGGCAAAACAGAUGGUAGUGAAUUUCAUCAAUGGUUAUUCACCUUAGACUUCCUUUGAAUGGCUCGUAAGAGAUAACUAAUGGUCUAAAGCCAAAAGCUUACCAAAUAUUGACAACUCAAAGUCAUUCCAAGUGAUAAACUCACCUUUCAAUGGCCAUUGAAAUUGGUUCUAACGGAUUAAUGCAAAACUUGGAAUUGAAAACCUCACCUUCCAAUAGCUCGUAGGAGAUAACUAAUGGAUAGAAAUCCAAAAGCUUAUCAAGUAUUGGCCGUUGGAAGUUGUCCAAAGGAAAUAAAAACCAAACUUUGCAUUAAUGAACCAUUAAUGAAAAAACGUCUACCUUACCUUCCGGGUGCGAGAAAUUUCCAUGGGAUUGCAUCCAAGCUAUCACAUAACAUUCAUACUUUGAGAAACUAAAAGUUUUAGCCAAUCAUCCUUUGAGGAAAAGCCCUCAGAGGCUGUUUGGCUACUAAGAAAAUAGAAAUGGGGAAGAACAGGAGAAGAGAGAAAAACAGAGCAAGGCUCUGUAUAUUCUAUAUAUUGAUCGAUAUCUAUUACAAUGGAUGCAAGGGAAUAUAUAUAGAGAAGGUUUUCCAACCUUCCUAGCUAAGAAAUUACAUGAGUGGUGGAUUACAAGGAGAAGAAUGGAAAUUUAUACAAAAAUAUCCAAAAGAAAAGAUCUCGUGUGGAGUCGGCAGAAACAGGGGAAAAUUCGCACCAUGCAAGGGGGUGUGCGAAUUUGGAAGGUGUUGUGCGAAAAUUUCGCACACCCCUGGAGCAGUUGUCUUCCGAAGGCCAUAUCUUCCUCAUUUCAGCUCCAAAUCGUACACAGUUUGAAGCGUUGGAUUUUUGACUUCCUGAGCUUUGAAACGGUAUAUAGCAUGUAAAAAAUGGACUUCGGGAAGUACUCCAAAAGUGCCAAAGAAGACUGCAGAUGCUGUCCUCUGUUUUCCUCCUUGCUUCUCUUUACUUUGCUUUCCUCUUCUCCAUUGUUCUUUCCUUGCAUACUUUGAACGAAUUUGGCAAAGGGAUAUGGAGCUCCAAAGCUUGGUUCUUCAUGAAUUUGAGCUUCCAAAAGCUUUGCCAUAACUUGUCCAAGUAGCUCCUCUAUCAUUUGGCAUGCUUGAAUUGAUUCACAAGCUGAUAUAAACAUGUAAACUUGCCACAAAAUGGUUAAAACCAAUUACUAAGGACCUUAAUGAAUUAAUUGGGUUAAAUGAAUAUGAUUACUACUCAAAGGUGCUUAAAACCAUUAUAAUUAGGUCUACAAAAUAGCACUUUUUGGUAGUAAUCACGUAUUGUCAGAGGGUACAAUCGCUUCUACUAGGGAUUUAUCUUAUAGAUCCACUUCAACCUUGUAGGUUAGCCUAGACCCAAUUAGGAUUUCAUUCCUACAUGUGGGUGCAUCUAUGGACCUUUAAAGCUGCCUUGGUUAGAAUUGGGUUCGGUUACCAUCUCCAUAGUCUCAUUUUGGUAUGAUCGGAUACGAGGAUCAGUUUGAGUAUACAUGGGUUAUAUGCUUGAUUACCUUUUAGUCGGUUCCUACAAAGCUACCCUUGUAUAACGUCUCAUCUAGUGUUUCCAUGUUUAUAGGAGUAUUUUUAGUGCCCAGUCUAGAUUCGCCUUCUUGAACCAGAGUUAGAGGCAGGUUGACCAGAGUAUCAGAUCAACCAGACCAGAGAGUAGAUUAGAGAGAUAUGGACUCCCAGGUAGUCACUGUUGACCAGUUUGCCGUAACCAUGACUUCGAUUUAGGAAGCUAUAACCGGCCUCGGCUAGAGAAUAGAUGGGCAGCAGGCCCUACAGGCCCUGCCUCAGGAUAGUGCACAGUAUGACUCUGCGGCACCACCACCCCCUCCACUCAGUUAGUCGGUUCCACACCCUACACCGUAUGUUUUACAUAGUCAAACUGAUGCUACACCACUUCCUGUUGUAGCACCCAUUCAGGAAUUAGAUGAUGCACAUGCUCAUAUGGAUAGACUUGAGCAGAGGAUGAAACAGAUGAGGGUUUCAGAUGGAGCUAUCAAUUGGAAUGACUUUGAUGGGGCACUAGUGGCCAGUUUACCAGCCCAGUUUAGGAUGCUAGAGAUUGAGAGGUAUACAUGCAUGGGUUGCCUUAAGAUUCAUUUGAGGUGAUACAGUAGUAUGAUGAGAGCCCAAUGGUUGGAUGAGGCCCACUUUAUUAUGCUUUUUCCCAUGUCCUUGAGUGGUACAACACAACGUUGGUUUGCUUCUUUAGAUGCUUCACGUCGUAGGACUUGGGAUAAUUUGACCCAAGAGUUUUUGAGACAGUUUGCUUUUAAUACUGUCAUUGAUGUCUUGAGGAGAGAGCUCGAAGCCUUGAGAUAGAGACUAGAGGAGUCAGUGACUUCAUUUAUCUCCUGAUGGAGGGAAAAAAUCGCCCAGACUAUUGAUCGUCCUUCGGAGAAAGACUAGAUUAGUAUGAUUUUGAGGAGCUUACAACCCAGAUUUGUCAGACAUUUGAUGGGAUUUCCCCACACAGAUUUUGGAUCCUUGGUAUAGGCUCUGUACGAUAUAGAUGAGGGCAUUGCUAAAGGAUUGUGGCCCGAGUCUUCCCUUACUGACUCAAAGGAGAAGAAGCCCUCAGGAGGACAGAGACCUGAAGAUGUGGGUACUAUCAAUUUAGAAAGAUCGAGAUCUCCCAGGCGCUAUCAGACAUUUGGGCAGACUUCAAGAGCCUAUUACCCAUAGCUUUAUGUUUAGUAUAGAUCGCCCAGGCCCAUGACUCCUACAUACCUACAUCUGACCCUAGAGCCUGUUUUUGCUACAUAGGUCUCAAAGAGACCUCCUACCUUAUACCCUUGGCCCUGAGUCCCAUAGACUGCUAUUCCUCGUGCACAGAGGUCGAUACGACAAUUCUCUUAGCUAGGUAUGCCCUUGAGUCGAGCUUUCCAAAAGCUCAUAGAGGGUGGUUUGUUGACUCAGUUAGCUUCUAGGCUUAUACCCCAACCCGUGCCACCUCAGUUCAAGAUGGACCUUCACUGUGCUUAUCAUCAAGGUUUAAGACAUGACACUGAUCGUUGCUCUGCUCUAAGACAUGCUAUAUAGGACUUGAUAGACCAGGGUUUGGUUAACUUAGGGCAGCCAAGUGUAACCAUGAACCCUCUACCGGGUCACUCUAGGCAUGCAGUGCCACCAUCCUCGGGCAGUAUCCAUCACAUAGAUUUUGUAGAGGAUGACAGUAUACACAUGCUGAGUUGGGAUGAUGGAUUGCUAGAGUCGAUUGUUUUGGAUGAUGGUUAUGAGGUUGACACAGUGGGUUCUCAAACUUUUACAUCGUCUAGUUUGAUUUCAAAUUGGGUACCUUUUGAGGUGACUCCUACUACACCGUCAGCUACGGCACGUCAGGGCUCGUCCAUCCCAUUUACCCUAUAACCAAAUGAUGAUGAUUUGGAGGAGAGAGAUGUACAGAUUGUGAACCAUAGUGGGAGAGUAGCUCAACCCCCACCUCUAGUAGCUAGGCCAUUUGAUGGCGUAGUUUCUCAUGAGGAGGUUAGGAGAAAGGAUGAUAAGAUACUUUGGCAGUUACUGAGUACACAGACCCGCAUAUCUAUUUGGAGUUUGCUAGCAUCUUCUAGUACUCAUAGAAAUUCAUUGAUUCAGGCUUUAACCCAGAUCCGUGUGGAGACCACCACUACCUUAGAGGGGUUGAUUCAUAUUAUGACGGCCGACAGGGCCACAUGUAUUAUGUUUUCAGAUGAUGACUUGUCACCAAAGGGUUCAGACCAUACACGCCUCUAUAUAUUACAGUUGGUUGUUCAGGUCACAAAGUUCCAUCCGUCCUGUUGGACAAUGGCUGGGCCUUAAACGUCUGCCUAUUGUCUACUACUAUUGCUCUUGGUUAUGCACCUUUAGACUUUGGUCCCUUUACACAGACGGUCAGAGCAUAUGACAGCACUAAGAGGAAGGUCAUGGGUACUUUGAUGAUAGAGUUGCUAAUUGGUCCGGCUACAUUCCCUAUACUAUUCCAAGUUUUGAAGAUUCCCACAUCCUUUAACCUACUUCUGAGCCGACCUUGGAUUCAUAGGGCCAAGGCUAUAUUCCAUCUUCCCUUCAUUAGAAGAUGAAGUUUAUACAUGACAGACAGGUCAUCAUAAUAUAGUCUCCUAGAGAUAUGUUUGCCUCCUCCGAGCCGGUGCUUCAGAUCAAUCAUAGUGAGGAUGACCUAUUUUUUAUUGGGUUUACAUUUGAUGAGGUGCAAACUCUCGAGGUUGGGGACUUCUGCAAAGAUCUCGUAGCUAUGUCAUUUGAUCAGGAUAGCAGUACGGUGGUACUCAACAUGAUGAGGGGUAUGUCUUUUAUGCCUGGUUUGGGGUAAGGAUGACGUCAGCAUGGACCCAUGGAGUUUGUGGCUACUAUCGAUCAUGCUACACCAUUUGGGCUUGGGUUUGUUCAUACAGAGGCUAACUAUAGGAAUAUGGUGCAUCUACACCAGGAGAGAGUGAGAGCCCGUCUAAUUUGCACACCAUUCGAUUAUCCUAUUCAUCCUUAUAGGAUGAGCUUGGCAGACUAUUUUGUUAGAGGAUUAGAGACCCAUCCUCAUAUGAGGGAUUUUGACGUUGUGACUGAUAUAAAGGGAGUGGAUGACCUUCAGCAUCAAUUUCACCAUUUACAGUUAGGAGAUGAGACUUUUGGCGUACUAGUGUUAGUGAUGAUUGUUCAUUCAUUACCAGAUCGAGCCAGCUUCUUAUCUCUGUGUUUUCCAAAGGAGACUACUAAUUGUGGAGUAGACGUUGAGCCUACUAGGGUGACUGAUGGAGUUGUUCCUUGUGAUGAGUAUAGGAUUGAGAUGGAUAAGAUGAGUAUGAGUUAGAUUAUUGAGAUGAUUCAACCUGAGUCUGCUUCACCGUUCGAUCUGUUUGGGGUGUCUACUAUCGAGGUUGUCGAGGAGAUCUAGACAGUUCUUACUCUAGAGCUUAUGGAGGAUGUUACAGUUGGUGAUGAUGAGUUUGAGGACACUUUUGGCUUUAUUAAGGGAGUGUUCGACUUUGUGGACCCACCUCUUUUAUUUGACAUUUUAUUGGGAUUCAUUUCCUGCUCUGACGAUGUUUAUGAUUUCAUAUCUAUGGAUUUUCGAGUAUUUGCUUGUAUCUUGUGAUAGUAUUUAUAUAUCUGCACCCUACUUCCUCAUUCCACAUAUACUUGAUAUAGAUGAUGAGAUCGCACAACCUGAUUCAAAUAGAGACUCUUCUGAUCAUGACUCAGAUUCCAUAAAUGAGAGAGUUUCACCUGCUACAGAGGAUGUUGAGACUAUUGAUUUUGGUAUAGAGGAUCAGCCUAGAAAGCUAAAGAUUGGUCCACCCCUGUCUAUAGACGAGAGGGAUAUACUUAUUCAUUUACUCAAGUCAUACUUGGAUGUUUUUGCAUGGUCUUAUGAGGACAUGCCGGGUCUGGAUCCCUCUAUAGUCCAACACCAUCUGCCUAUCUUGCCACAUAUCAGACCCGUUAAGCAGAAACUGAGGCAAUUGCACCCAUGUUGGAGUCUACAGGUGAAAUAAGAAAUUUAGAAACAACUCAGUAUUGGAUUUAUAUCAGUGGUUGAGUAUCUAGAGUGGUUGGAUAAUGUCGUCCCUGUUCCCAAAAAGAAUGGCAAAGUUAGAGUUUGUGUUGAUUUCAGAGACCUUAAUAAAGCUAGUCCUAAGGAUGAUUUUCCUCUCCCACACAUUGAUUUGUUAGUUGAUAGCAUUAUAGGUCAUUUGAUGUUGUCCUUCAUGGAUGGAUUUUUCGGGCAUAAUCAGAUUCUGAUGGCUUUAGAGGAUAUGGAGAAGACAACCUUCAUUACCGAGUGGGGUACCUACUGUUAUAGAGUUAUGCCAUUUGGGUUGAAGAAUGCAGGAGUUACUUAUCAGAGAGUUGCUACCACUUUGUUUCAUGACAUGAUGCAUAGGAAUGUGGAAGUUUAUGUAGAUGAUAUGAUUAUGAAAUCCCGAAGCAGAGUGGAUCACCUAACGGCUCUAGAGAGAUUCUUUUAGAGGAUUCGAAAAUUCAGGUUGAGGCUAAACCCCAAGAAAUGCACCUUUGAAGUGACUUCUAGGAAAUUGUUGGGGCAUAUGGUCAAUGAGCGGGGUCUAGAGGUUGACCCAGAUAAGAUCAGAGCCAUACUCGACAUGCCUGUGCCGAGGACAUGAGAAAGAGAUUAGGAGUUUUCUGAGCAGAUUAUAGUACAUCAAUCGUUUCAUAGCCAGAUUGACAAACAUAUAAGAGCCCAUAUUUCGUCUUUUCAGGAAGAACCAACCAACGGUUUGGAAUGAUGUACUUGGGGUACUUGAUGAUGAUACACAUGAUCUCAUGUUGCAAGAGCAUGACUUGCGUACUCCUUUAUGGUCGUUUCCUCACCAAAGUGUUCAAGGAUGUCAACAUUGACUUAAGUAGAGAGACAGAUUUUGAGGUUCCUAGUACUUAUGACAUGUGUGAUGAUCAAUCGAUGGCGAGGAUGAAAUUUGAGAAGGUUCCCGAUGGUUCUUGGGUAAAGAAAGCAGAGGGAGCACCAACAUAGGCCUUAGGAUAGGGAUAGGCACAUCUCGGAGUAGAAAAGGAGGCCGAGAUACGAGAGAUGGAGGGAAGAGUAGACCCUUAGAGUGGCUAUCGGUAGAGAGAGCUCGAGCUUGACAUUCUUCCACUUCAGUCAGAGGUUGUUCAGUUUAAGGCUACCUUCUCUAAGCCGAUGAUGUUUGAGCCGACUUAUACAACAGAACCAUCUACUCAGCCGUCAUUCAUUGAUUGUUCCUCUAGACCUGGAUUCACUGAGCCUCUUCACACUGAGUACCACCUCCUCAGGAACCUCUCGUUUCUGACCAUACUCCUUGGAUGAAUAUAUCUGCUUAGAUUAGCUCUCUAGGUAGUCGCAUGGAGGAGCUUGUUGUAGUAAGUGAUACUCAGUUCUAUUCCAUGGAAGAUCGCAUGAUCAAUAUCAGGCUAGUUUCACUUCACAGUUUGAGCAUCUCCAAUAGAGGUUUGAACGUAUUGAGGAUCGAAUGGAUCAGCAUCAGGCUGGCUUCACUUCACAGUUUGAGCAUCUCCAAUAGAGGAUUGAGGAUCGCUUGGAAAGUUAGCAUGAGGAGAUGAUGGCUUACAUGCGUUCUAUGUUUCCACCUCCACCUCCUUAACCUUGAUUUCGUAGAGACCCCUUUUGUUCCUUUUUAUGUUGCCAAAAGGGGGAGAUAUUUAGUCUAUAGGAGACUUACAUGCAUCUCAUUGUCAUAUCAUAUGUUUGGAUCGUACAUAUUGGAUAGUGAUACAUUUGACUUAUAUAUGAUAUGUUUAUUUGUUUCAUGUCCAUUUGACUUAUAUAUGAUAUGCUUAUAUAUUUCAUGACUUAUAUUGUUUCUUAUUGCAAAUUCAUUCUAUCUAGCAUGCCUUGAUUUUCUUGGUUUUAACUUCGUAAAUUUUGAUUGUUGACCCAUGAUUGGUUUGAGGGGGAGAUUCUUCUUCUCCUAGAUAACCAAGGUUUGUCAUCAUCGAAAAAUGAGAGAUUGUUAGCCUAAGGGUUCUCCUAAUCAGGUUUUGAUGAUAACAAACCAUUGUUAAGUUACUAAUUGGUUUGAUUUUUAAAGAAUUUCAGGUGUUAAUAUGAAAAUUCAUCAAAGGACCUAAUGAAUGCAAGAUCAAGACCUUUGAAAGACCUUUAAUCAUAGGAAACAUAUGUAAGAUGAAUGCAUGGGUGCACUUAGGUUUUACAUAUCAUUUCAUGCAUCUUUGAAAAACUCGAUUUAUUCUUUAAAGUUACAGUUUCAUCAAAACCCGAGUUUUAUCAAAUGAACCUUAGGCAAAUCUCUUCAAAAUUGGCAUAUUGAUUUACCUAAAGACCUUGCCUAAGUGUUAGAAGAGAAAAGAACAAAAAAAGAUAGGUUUUCGGGCCAAAUAUGGUGAACUAGUCGAGGCACUGGCCAACCGGCUCAACUGACUAGGGGUAUCGGUCGAUUGAUUCCCUUUUCUCGAUCGAGGUUUGAUCGAGAGAAGCAAAAAACACUUUCUCUUUUCCAAUAGCCUUUCCUUCCAGUUCGAGGUAUUUGCCUUCUUGGUCAACCUCCGGUUGAGGGUAACAAUCACCUGCCAAGCAUUAAAUGCUCUAAUGACUAGUGAACCGGUUGACCCCCAACUCCACUGGUUGAGGCUGCUUUUUGGUUUUCUUGGUUCCCGAGGUUAGAAACCUAUAAAUAGAGAGCUCCACUUCAUUUAUGAGUAAGAGAAUACUUGCAUUUAUUUGCCUACCCACUUGUUCUUACCUUAAAAGCUCUCAUUCUUUUCUUGAUGCAUUAAACCCCCAUUUGUAUAUCCUUUGGUGCACCUUUGUGAUCAUCCUAGCCUUAAGUUGUAUUUGAGUUAUUGUUGAGCUAAGUUGAGAGAUUCAUUCUUGUUAAUUGAGUGUUAAAGCCUUCAAGUGAGUUGAAACUUGCAGAGAUUGUGUAAGAACCCAUUGGAGUCAGAAUACAAGUGUAAAAGUGAUUAGAAACUUGGUUGAAGCUUCAAGUUAAUGGAACCCUCACUUGGUUAGGAGCUUAAGCAGAGUGGACAUAAGCAAGGAAGUUUUAUAAUAUGAUAAGUAUUUAUUGCUUUAUAUUUUGUUCCUAUUUUUUUGCACCUUUGCCUUAUUACUUUGUAAUUAAUCCUAUUUUCUUUUGUGCCUUCAUCCCAUUAUUUCAAUCCUCAAGGUAAAAAAUUUAACAACUAGAUCUUGAUUUGGUGCCUUAAACUUUUUCAUUAUUUAUUUUCGUCAUUAUAUAUAUUAUUAUAUUGGCAAAUUUAAAAAAUUGUUCAUGGUAUUGAAAAAAAAAUAUCAAUUUUUAAAAAUAUUUCUUAAAAUAUGAUAAGUAAAAAAUUAUUCUUAAACUUAUGGUAUAAUAUGAUAAAUCAAGAAGUUAUCUUUUAAGACAAGCCAGUUAGAACAUUAAACCAUAUGCUACAAGUCUAUCAACAAAAAGACACACGCCUCUUGAAAUUGAUUGAAUAAAUCAUCAAUACAUGGUAAUGAACAUCGAUUAAGAAUGGUAACCUUAUUAGAAUCUCAAUAAUCUAUGCAAAACCUCGUAUUACCGUCCUUGUGUACAAAGAGGACAUGGGCUCCCCAUGGUGACACACUUGAUCGUAUGAGUCACAUAUCCAAUAACUCCUAUAAUUGGACCUUCAACUCCCUAAGCUCUGUUGGAGCCAUACGGUAUGGUAUGGCACCUUGGAUGUUGGUGUAGUUCUUGGCACCAAGUUUAUGGCAAAGUCCAUCUCUCUCGCUGGUGGUAAUCUAGGUGAUUACUACCAAAAAGUGCUAUUUUGUAGACCUAAUUAUAAUGGUUUUAAGCACCUUUGGGUAGUAAUCAUAUUCAUUUAACCCAAUUAAUUCAUUAAGGUCCUUAGUAAUUGGUUUUAACCAUUUUGUGGCAAGUUUACAUGUUUUUAUCAGCUUAUGAAUCAAUUCAAGCAUGCCAAAUGAUGGAGGAGCUACUUGGACAAGUUAAAGCAAGCUUUUAGCUACACCAAAGCAAGCCAACAAAAGGAGAAAAGCAAAGAGAAGCAAAGAGAAGCAAAAAGAAGCAAAGAGGAAAACAGAGGACAGCAGCUGCAGUCUUCUUUGGCACUUUUGGAGCACUUUCUGAAGUCCAUUUUAUACAUGCUAUAUACCAUUUAAAAUCUCAGGAAGUCAAGAAUCCAACGCUUCAAACCGUGUACAAUUUGGAGCUGAAAUGAGGAAGAUAUGGCCUCCGGAAGACAACUGCAUCAAGCUGAGGGACAAUUUCGCACGAUGGAAAUCAAGGUGCGAAUUCCUCAGUCCAAAGUGUGGGAAUUUCGCACACCUGAAACCAAAGUGCGAAAUUGGAACUACAACGUGCGAAAAUUGGAUAUUUUUGCCGACUCUUUUUCUUUUGGAUAUUUUUGUAUAAAUUUCCAUUCUUCUCCUUGUAAUCCACCAAUCAUAAGAUUUCUUAACUAGGAAGGUUGGAAAAACUUCUCUAUUUAUAUCCCCUUGCAUCCGUUGUGACAAAUAGGGGGAGAUUGAUAUAUUGAUAUAUUGAUAUAUAGACUUAGAAUAUUUACAGAGCUCUCCCGUUUCUAUUUUCUUAGUAGCCAAACAGCCUUUGAGGGUUUUUCCUCAAAGGAUGAUUGGCUAAAACUUUUAGUUUCUCAAAGUAUGGAUGUUAUGUGAUGACUUGGAUGCAAUCCCAUGGAAAUUUCUCGCACUCGGAAGGUAAGGUAGUCGUUUUUCAUUAAUGGUUCAUUAAUGCAAAGUUUGGUUUUUAUUUCCUUUUGACAACUUCCAACGGCCAAUACUUGAUAAGCUUUUGGAUUUCUAUCCAUUAGUUAUCUCCUACGAGAUAUUGGAAGGUGAGGUUUUCAAUUCCAAGUUUUGCAUUAAUCCGUUAGAACCAAUUUCAAUGGCCAUUGAAAGGUGAGUUUAUCACCUGGAAUGACUUUGAGUUGCCAAUAUUUGGUAAGCUUUUGGCUUUAGACCAUUAGUUAUCUCUUACGAGCCAUUCAAAGGAAGUCUAAGGUGAAUAACCAUUGAUGAAAUUGACUACCAUCUGUUUUGUCAUUUUAAAGGAUUAAAACUUGAUUUGCUAAAUCCAUACCGGUUCGGGAAGCAAGCAUCACCAUAGUUGCAACCCCAACGCGAGGAGCCUAUCCUGAGAUUUCCAAUUUGCAUAAGAGCCAGAGGAUAGCUAUCCUAUCUUUGAGAAACUUGUUUUUACACCCUUUCAUUUUAGUCUUUAAUGUUAGCUUAGAUUAGUUUAAAUCUUUCUAAAAACAUUUACAUCUUCUUUUAAAGCUAACAUUCAUAAGAAAAUCACCUAUUUUCCUAAUUUGAAUAUCACUUGUGUUUGCGAAAACCCUUCCCAGUGAACGAUCCUAGAACCACUAUGCUAUAGUAGCUUGGCUACUUUAGUAAUAGUAUUCAAGGUAUAAAUUUUGUUGAUACGCCUUUAAAGCUAAGCUACCAUGAGUCGAAUCACUAGGCAAGUCUUUUAGAAAAGCCUCUAGAAACUCACAUGCCACUGGUAUGUCCUCAAGUCAUGGCUCUAUAGCAUGACUAUCCACAACAUGAGCAAGGAAACCCCAACAACCCUCUCUUAUCAAAUCACUGCUUACAUCGGUGAGAUCAAAUAUAGUGGUGCUAAGACCCUUGAACACUUAACUCCAACCUCAAGGGCACCUGGUAAUUUGAAAAAUAAUUGAUAAAAGCAUGAUAUGUGGCUAACCAAUCUAUCAUGAGAAUAACAUCAAAGUCUUGCAUAGUCAUGAGUACCAAGUCUACUUGCAACUCCCAGUAACUAAUGGUCACAACACAUCCUCUAUAUAUCAUGUUUACAAUCACCCCAUCCCGAUUGGAGUAUUUUUAUUUUUAUUUUUAUUUUUAAAUUUUCAAAUGAUAACUUAAAAUAAAAAACACUAAUAUAAAAUUAUAAAACUAAUAAAACGAGAAUAAAAUUAAAUUAUAAAAUUAAUUUUUUUAUUUAAUAAAAUUAAAGAUAUUCAUAUAUCUACAUUUUAUUCACAUUUCACUAAUUUUAAAUUUUUUCAUUGCUAUUUAUAUUUUAUUAAUUUUAUGAUGUUAUUAUUUGAUUUUCUAUAAAUGGUGAAUAAUCAUUAUAUAUUAUUAUAAUGGUAAUUAUAAACAGAAGGAAUUUGGUCUUUGGUUAACACUGAUUCGUUCCCAAUUGGUGUCUCAGUUGAUUCAUGUCCUCUCAAUGGUACCUGACAGUGGUGCCAUUUGAUACGUGUCCAACUGGUGUCCCUUGAUUGUGGUCCUCAGGGAGUAAUCAACAAAAUUUAUAACCUAUUACACCAUGUACUAGGAUAGCCUUAGCUAGCGUAGCAUAGUGGCUCUAGGGUCGUUCAUUGGGAUGGGUUUUCACUUCACAAUUGAUAUUAAUUCAAAGAUGAAUUGGUGUCUUUUCAUUUCAAGGUUAGCUUUAAAAGAAAACAUAAAGAUAUUUAAAUGAAAAAGGUUUGGUUUUAAACUAACCAAAAAUAGUAACUGAUUUUACUUACAAAGAAAAGUGUUUCUUGGAGUUUAGAUCACUAAGCUCAGGUUCCUCAUACAAAAAGGAGAGUUCUGGUUGCUUGUUUAUUUUCCUCGCAUUAGAGAAUUAACAUAUAGUUAAUUCUCUAACCGGUGUGGUACAGAUGCUUCCCUUUAAUGGGUUCAAACACUAAAUCCCUCUCACUGAUGCAACUUGCAAUGGCUCGUGCCUCUCACCUAGCAUUUGCCAUUUAAGGUGAUCUUUAACCUUGGAUUACCCGUCAAAAGCUCGCAAGAGAUAACUAAUGGAUGUCUCCUUGGAGUCCAAAAGCUUACCAAGUGUUGGCUAUUCUAGAAAAUCCUACCUCUAAACCACCUCCCAAAGGCUCGCAAGAGAUAAACAAGUGUAUCUCAAUGGAUGGAGAUCACUUGCCUUACCAAGUGUUGGCCCAGGUGAUUUAAAGGCGUUUUAAGUUAACUAAAAAGAUAGAAACCAUUAACGGGUCACACUUUCUCUUCAUUAAAAACUAAAACAACAAAACUUCCAAUUUAUGCAUGUGAAAACUUACCCGGCUUUCUUCACUCCAAGAGACAAAGAGCCUAGCCUCUCAUCCUCUGAGGAAAAAUCCUCAGAGUUUGGUUGGCUAGAAAGAAAACUAACGAGAAAACAAAUAUAUAUGAAAAGCAGAGCAAGUGCUCUGUAUUUUACUUCCUUCCAAAACUGUACAAAGGAUCCGUUCUAAGAACAAGCUCCCGAGAUCUAUAUAUAUAAGAGGUUAUUCACCCCUUUGUUCUUACUUAAAGACUAAGGAAUCCUAUGAUAGGUGGGUUACAAGGAGACUUUGGGGAUUUACACAACAAAUAUCUGAAGCAAAAUAUCUCACGAUGUUGGUAGAAAAUUUCUCAAGAUGUCGGUCGAAAAUAUCUCAAGAUGUCGGUCAGAAAUACUAGGAAGCUUCAGGAGAACACCAUGACACUGUAUACUGACAGAAAAACUCUCCGGGUAAGCGCUAUCAGAGGAUCCGGAUAUGUCUGACCGGAGAAGUUGAAACAUCUUCCUCUCCCAUCCGACUGUGAGAUAUCCGGAUGUAAAAUGUCGGCGCACGGAAUUCCGGAUAUGAAAUGUCGGCGCAUGGAAUUCCGGAUAUGAAAUAUCCGGAGAAGGUGAAAAGUCGGCCGGAUAGAAUUCUUCCCCGGGUGGAAUGAGCUAUGCUACGCAAGGGGGACCGUCCGCGUGUGCAAGGUGUAGGGACCCCUCUCCUGGAUGACACAGAGCGCGCAAGGCUAUCCGGAUCAACUCCAUCCGGAUUCCCCAAGAGGACAUGUGGCGCGCUCCCCCUAUCCGAACUCCCUCAGGGAGAGGCACACGACACUCGUGAACAUCACACCCGGACGAUAGCAUAUCCUAUCCGAAUAUGUUGUCUGGAUCAUUGACUAAAAGUGAGCAAGUCUUGCUACGUCAUUCGGACAGCCUGCCAUAGACCAUGUUCCGCCGCCAUCCUGUCCGAACGCCCUGUCCGGACAUCUUUUACUCUUUGCAUUCUGGAUCUGCUUAUGGCAAAGGACUUUAAAGCUUCGGUUCUUCAUGUUUUUGAGCUUUCCAUUGCUUUGCCAUGGAUUCCAAAGAACUCUCCUCAAUCUCUGAUUGCUUUGGUGAUCAAAAGCUAUCAAAACACCAAAACUUAACACAAUUUGAUUAGAAUUGAUUGCAAGGGUCCUUAAUAUGUUAAUUGGGUUAAAAGGUGAUAACUACUACUCAAAAGUGUUUAUAAGAGUUAAUUACAAGCUAUGAAAUAGCACUUUUUGAGUAGUAAUCAAACACCUUUCCCCUUUUACAUAAAGAAGAGCCCUAAAAUGGGGCUGCCCACUACCCACAUGACAUUUGAAAUAUUAAAGUUUAAAAAAAGCUGUUUGAAAACUCACAAUUUAAAAAAAGUUUGGGUGAUAAUAGUUUUGAUCAUUUGCUUUUGAAAAAAAUUAAAAAGUUGUUUGAAAACCCAUUGAUAUGUGUCUGGAAAAUUAAAAAUCUAUCUGUAAACCUAUCCUUUGGAAAAAGUGGGGCGAAAACCGAUACUUCAAAGAAAUUAAAGUUUCAAAAGGCCAUUUGAAAACAAACUUUUUAUGACUAGGUGUACCUUAAAAGAUGUAUAAUUGAUGCUAACUUCAUGAAAAUUUAUGUACAAUAACAUCUUUUAGUAUUCACACAUGUAUUUACACCUUUUUCCUCAUUUUCAUUAUUUACUUUUUAUAUUAAAUUAUUGAAAAUAUUAUUUACACGCAUGCAUAAAUAUCAAAUAUAAUUUUUAUUUUUAUCUUAUAUAUAUAAACACUUGUAUUCAAUGUACACGACAUUUGUACUAUUAAUAGAAUACAUGUAUAAGUUUAUAUAUUUAUGCAUUUUUUUCAUUUUCUUUGACUAUUUUUUUUAUAGUAUUGGAAACAUUAUUUUCAUAGAUGCAUGAAUGUCAAAUACAAUUUUUUAAAUUUGUCACACAUGUACAAGUUACUUAUACUAAAUAUAUAAGACAUUUAUACUAGUUGUAUAAGGUUUGUACAAAUGUACAUGUUAUGAAUAUGAAAAUAUUAAAAUGUUGUACAUCCUUUUUAUCCGGUUAAUAUGCAAAUAACUUAUAGAUCAUCUCUAAAAGUGAAGCAAAGGAAUUGAUAUAAUGAUCACUAAAAUUGCAAAUAAAAAAUAGAAGUAAUUAAUUAGAAUUUGAUUAUUAUUAUUUAUAAUUUGAAAUAUCCUAUUAACCCAUAUUAUCACUUAUAAUUUAAAUUAAAGAUAUAUUUUCUUAAUUUGAACAAUUAAGUAAUACUAAGUCUUAUUGAGAUUAAAUAGUAUGCAAUUUAAUAUAAUUCUAUAGUUUAAUUGUAAAUAUGUUGUUACUUAAUGAAAUUUCAAAAUUUUAAAAUAAAAAAUUAUAAUAAUUGAACCUUAAAUUAAUAAAAAAAUAAACUAAGAUACACUACAACAAAUAUGAGGUUUUGUCAUAAAUUAAUUUUUUAUUAAAAGAUAUUAUUUUGUAGUAGAAGAUUUUUUUCUUCCACAAAAAAAAUUAUUUGUGGUGAGUUUGUUGCUAUAAACCCAUGAGCAAUUAUUUUUAACCAUAAAUUUUAAUCUUAUAGCAAAAACAAUUUUCUACAAAAUAAAAUGUGGCAACAUAUCAUUUUUUUUAUCAUAAAAUAAGUUUAUAGCAGCAUGUCAUUUUUGGCAUGAAAAUAUUCAUGGUAAAAGGUUGAUGACCAUGUUCCAGGCCAAUGUGAACCAUCGGCCAUCCAAGUAGCUUUUGGAACAUUAAUGGCUUCCAAAAGAUGACCAAUUUCAGAAAAAUGGUAAAAAUAUGGACCUUGAGAAGUCACCACGACGUCCAUCCCUAUUAUUUUAGGGUCCAGAAGACAUUGCCAUUGUUACUCUCAUCAGAUUCCAUGUUAUCCAAGUGGAGAACUCAGGAUAAUAUAUUGUAUUGAUAGUAGUCUCAUUUCUAUGAUAGAAAUAUAGUCCACUCUUUGUAGACAGGAUGGCAUUUAUGAGCAUAUCUUUACGUUUAACUCUUCUUAAUUUUUUCCUCUUUGUAUAAAGAAUCCGCUAUUAUCAACACAUAUUUAAUACAGCUCUUAAGUAAUUCCUAACAUAGUUUAAGUUUGAGAAACUAUUCAUGAACAGGGCAUACCUUAUCAGCUGCCUCCUUGGUUUAGGACAAGUGACCACAUCAUUCUGACCAAGACAUGAUUUAAGUAGGAUAAACACGUAAAAAUUGUGAGAAUUCCACAUUUAAACUAGAAACUGAAGUCUGGUAGUAGCAAAUUUAAGGUAGCCUUGAAUUCUUAGCAACCAAACAGACCAUUAACCAGCAAAAAAAUGCAACUGAACCACUUCUUUUUAACAUGGAGAAAAUCGAAGAAACUCAAACAAAGAUCCAGCCUUCAUUUUCUCUCAUUCCAAAUGCAGAAAACCCUAAGCCUUGAAUUUUUCACUCUCGUCCAAAUGGAGCACAGUAAACCUUAAUUUACUUUGUAGAUGAAUUAACAAUGCCUGACCAAACAAACACAUAAUAUUUUUAGCAAUUAGAUAAAAAGAUUUAAUGGUUUGAAAUGAUAUUGUAGAUUUUUUCAUAAAAUUAGUAAUAUAAUAAAAUUAGUAUUGAAUGAUCCUAAGCAUCCUAUUUAAUACUAGUUAAAUUAUAAGAAAAUUAAAUAAAAAUUUAAAGUUGAAAGAAGUAGAGCCCUAACUCUCUUGUUGUCGAAGGUGUUUAGUUUUUUGAGAAUAAAGAGUUAGGGCUUGCAUAGAAAUUAUUUUUUAAAAUAAUAUUUUAUUCUCUGUAACAAAAAAUUGCUUUUAUAACUUAAAAAGCACGUUUAACAAAUUUUUAACAACAAAUAUUUUUUUUUAAGAAUUUGUUUUGAAAGUAAACUGUUUUUUAUAUUAAAUUUGAGGUGUUUUCCAUUGUUUUUUGUACAACAUUCUAAAUAAUAAUUGAAAAUGUAAAGAAUAUUUUUAAAAUGCAAUAAUAAUAAUAAUAAUAAUAAUAAUAAAUAUAAUUAAGGAGGAGAGGAUGAGUUUGAAGUAGAUAAUAAUAAUAAUAAUAAUAAUAAUAAUAAUAAUAAAAUAUAAUUAAGGAGGAGAAGAUGGGUUUGAAGUAGAGAAUAGGGUUCCCUUCCUUCCCCCUCGACCUUGAUUACUCAUCCCUACCUAAUUAGGGAUAGAUCCUUGCGAAGAUCCACCUUGAUGGGUAUUUUCGUUACCCCUAUUAAAAGCAUCUCCUAAUAUUUGGAAGCAUAUUUGAAAAUCACAUUAAAAAUUCAAAAAAUCACUUCUGAACAAUUACUUCAUAGGUGGCCAAUUCUUCCAAAAAUCCAUUUUUUGUAAUAUUUAGUUUACAUCAAAACACUAAGUAGUUCUUCAUAAAAAUAUUUCUAAUGGGAGCAAUACUAUUAAAAGCGUUAUAUACUAAGAGCUCGCUUGAGAGUAAUUUGGAGAGAAGUUAACUAAAAAUGCUUCCUUACAAAAAUUAUUUGUUCAAAAUUUUUAAAUAAAGGAAACAUCAUUAGCAGACAUUUCUCUACCACAAAUGUUAAUCUAUGCAUCUCCUCAAAAUAAAAAGUCCAACAUACCUAAAAAAGGACAUUAAGAACAAAGGCCCUUCUAAGAUGUAAUAAUAUACAUGCACAAAAGAAAACAAAAAAAGAAAAAAAAAAAAAAAACAAUUGAAGGCAGUGUUUCACUCACAUAGACUAUGUAGAAAAAACAAACACCUCUUCCUUGUUUUGCAUAUGGAAAAUGAAAUCAGUCUUCUUCAAAAUCCUCCUCCCUAAGAUUUGAAUUGAUAGAAUCCAAUUUUUCAGAUUCUUCCUCUUUAUAACCCUAAGCAUUUUGCAAACAAAGAGCCUCAUAUUAGAUAGGAAAGAUGAAAAUUACAAUGAUGAAGGUUAACAUAAUUAGAACGAAAAUUAAUUUGGAUUGGAGGGUGAAUCAUAGAAUGCUAGAUCAAACUAAUGUUUCAUAUUAUCCUUGUAUUCUCUGAAAGUGAUAUUAUUUAUUUAAUGCAUAUUCUUAAAUUACAUUUAGGUAACAAUAUUGAUAAAGAUUAUAAAUUGCCUUAAGUAUUAACUAGUUCUUCUAUAUAAAAAUGAGACCCUCUAUGUAGAAUCUUGGUGUAGAACUUCAAAUAAUUGUCUACCUUUAACUUUUAAAAAAAGGAAAAAUAUUGUCAUGACCAGUAAUAUCCUAUAUUAGAUAGAAAAAGUUUCUAUAACUUUAUGGUGGAUUUCUCUUAACUAGAUAGAUGAUUUUUAAUGCUCUGAGAGCUCAUUAGGACCAAAGUGGAUAAUAUUUACAUAACAAGAACAAAUUGUCACAAAAGAUAUUAGAAUUAAUCUCUGAGCUUAGGAUGGGAUGAGGUCAUUACAUGACCAUUUAAAUUAUUUUUUGCUAAAUGCUCUAUGUUUUUGUUAACAAAAUCAAAGAUGAUAAAAGACUACACAAUUGAGAAUUCUUACAUUACCUUUUGCCCUUAAAUGAUGUUUGCACUAUCAAAAAAUAAUUUUUUAGAUUGAAAUGGAAAUAGGACAUAUUCCUUUUUUUCUUUUUAUUUUUUCUAUUUGGGACUAGCUAAAUUGAUACUUUACUAAACCCAACACAAUAUCCUUCACUCUUUAGGUUUUAGCAAGAAUUUAUUUAUUUAUUUUUUAUCCAAUUAGACUUCUUAAUCUACAAACCAAAAGAAAAUGAGAACAUUGUCCAUAAUAGGUAAAUAUCCCCAUUCAAUAUCUCACAGUAGUUCAAAUCUAUAUUAAAUCUCAAACAAUUUUGAAAAUUCAAGAAUCAUAUAUCUUCAAACAUGUGAUGAUAACUUAGGCCUCUCCCUCAAACUCUAGCUUAGCAAAUAAAAGUUAAAAAAAAAUUUGUUGAAUUUUCUAGCUUGCUAAAGUAGGGCUCAAACCCCAAUUCUAGAACAAUUCCAACUUGUAAGAUAUCUUUUUAUCAAAGCUAAUGUGGUUAUUCAAUGAACUUAUCACAUUUCUUGCUCAAAUUAUUCUAACUUGAUUAUUUAACCAAGUUAAAUUAAAGAUUAGCUCUUAUGUCUAUUCUAAAUUAGUUUUUUAAUCACAAUACUGGACUCCUUGCUCUCUACCUUUGGAUUUGGUUAAACAUACAUACAUAAACUUUUUGACAAGUGCUUUAUAGUUGUUGCACCAACUUGGGCCUUCAAAUUUUUUUGCCAAAACACAAUAACGUGAACCUUCCAAUAUUUCUUAAAUAAUCAAUGUGUUGUUUAAAAAAUAAUAGUAUCUCCCAUAUAAGAUGUAACAAUUGUUAAAGACUUACCUUGAAAGGAUAAUAGUUUCUAAAAAAUUGAGGUAUUAAAAAAUUUUUACUUUCUCAAAUUUUAAAAUUUUAAAGAACAUAAAGUAAGUUCAUACUUUUUGUAUAAGAGUUCCUAUAUUUUAUAUAGAAUGUGCUAUUAUCUUUUGCUUGAAAAACAAAUAAAUAAAGAAAGUGUAUCUAAAUGAAACCUUAAGUAUCAAAUUUUUUUUAUCUAACUAUUCUAACUUGAUAUCCUAACCUCUAGCUUCAACUAUAAUGCUAGUUUCUCUUUGUAGUUUUGCACCUGAAUUAACUAAUGUGUGUAUAUAUAUAUCUAUGAAUUUUUUGGCAAACACUUUUUACUUCUCAAGUCACAAGAAAGCCUCAUGACUUCUUAAACAUGUUAAGAAAUCAAAAUAUGAAAGAGUGAUGAUGUCACCAAGGCAACAAACAAUAUUAAGACAGUUUGCUUAUAUUAAGAAAUUAAACAUGUUCUUUUAGACUUGAAUAAAAUGAAAAUUCUAUAGGCUUGUUUUGUGUCUUUUCUUCAUACAAAAUAAAUUAAGAAUUUUUUUUGGGAGUGAUUUUGAAAGGUGUUAAUAAUACUUCAUAAUGCUUGAAAACAUUUCUUAUAAAAAUUAGGUGUUUGACAAAAUUUUGAAAGUGGUAAAAAAUAUGAAGUGAUGAUUCCUGGACAAUAACUUCAUAAAAUAAAAAAAAAAAUCAUUUUGCUGUUAUAUAAAACAAUACUAUGAAAACAUUUUUUUUUAGUUUAUAUCCAAACACGAAGUGAUUCUUUUUAAAAAUGUUUAUAAGGGAAAUGUUAUUAACAAAAAUGUUAAAGAUAAAGACAUUUUAAGUAGAAUAACCCCAAAUAACCUUUAAGACAAAUAAGAUUAAAGUAGUAUUUACUAUAUUUAUAGAGCCAAGGAAAAGAUGAUAUUAAGAGUAGAAAGAAUUAGUUAGGGGAAUUACUCCAUUCAUACCUGUUCCAUGAACUUCUUGCGUAUGGUGGUAUUUUGGUCAUCCUGCCAACAUUCUUCAAAAAAUUCUUUUUGUACACUUUUUAGCCUUGGUGCAUCUAAGACUCCCUUGCAAAAAAAUUCCAUCCCAUGACAUUCUCUCACCACCAUUGUUUCCAAGGAUGGGAAUUUGAAGACAUAUCUUGUUGAUGAGCAAAAGCUUUUCAGAUUUGGCAAAUGAUAAAGUCCCAGGCUCUUUAAUCUAGUGAACUCAAUCUCAUUAUCUGUUAGUUCAUGUCCUUCAUUUCCCACUAUUUCUUUUAUCAUGUGGCAUUCUUGUAUAAUAAGCUUUUUGAGUUGCACCAGUCUUUUGGCCAUUAAUGGUGUUACCAAAUUUAUCAAACUCCCACAACUAAUUAUCUCUAGAGCUUGAAGACUUUGAAAAUAUGGGCCUAAUCCAAAUAGAUGAAUUAGAAUAGGUAGAUCCUUCAAGCAUAUUUCAAUUAAUCGUGGAAGUGUCUCAACAUGAAAUUCUUCACUUGGAAGCCUUUCUACUUGAAUAACCUCAUUCACUGAAUCACACUUUAUCACCUUUAGUUGUUCUAGAUUAUGUAGUAUUUGAACCAUAUUCAAGGGAAUCACAACCGAAAUACCAUGACAAUAGUGUAUCAUCAAAUCGCUUAACUUCGAAAAAGACACCCUUGAAAAUUGGCCUCGCCAUAUCUCCAUAGUGCCCUUUAAGCUCAAUGUCAGUUCUUCCAAAUUAGGAAAUGCUUCAUGGCAAACCAAAUUACAUAAGAGGAAUGACAUUUCAUUUAUGUGAUUUUUUUUAAAUAAAUAAAUAAGUUAUAUAUACACACAUAUACAACAAUCCUCUUUAAGCUUGCAAAUAGCUCAAUAAAUGAUAAAAAUAAACAAGCCCCUUCAAGUUCAAACUCAUGACCACUUGAAAAAUAAGGCGAUACCAUAGUAAAUAGAAAAAACUGUAAAUCAGUUCAUUUUAUCUACAAACCUAACAUUUAUAUAUUUAAUAAUUAUAUUUCCUUCUUGAUCAAAGAGCUAUUAGGAGAAAAUAAGUAAACAGUAUUAUUGUUAUAAUUAUUAUAAUUGUUGUUGUUGUUGUUUUCCAUAUGAGGCGUAAUGAAUUACUGUGUCUAAAUAAUCAAGGUACACUUUGACAAGUUUUGAUGCAAUGUGGCUAAAAAUAGAUUGGAUCAAUAUUGCACAUUAAUUCAAAUAAAACAUCAACAUUUUUUUUUUUGUUAAAUUCUAAAUAAACACCACUAUAAAUUAAUGCAAUUUUGUAUGAAAUUCAAUUAAAUAAACUCGUUCUUAAGGCAUCACAAGAAGUGUUUAAGUCUAAUUAAUAUUAAUUAAAAAUUAUUAUAUUAAAAAAAAUCCAAAGUAAUUUAUUUUUAUCAUAAGUCAAAUAGGAUAAUUUUAUAAAUAAUUGGUUUUAGUUUCUAGUAUUCUUGUACACAAUCGCUAUGUUUGUUGCACCUCCAAAAAAUCUACUACUUGUAAUUAAUUGUAUAUUAUUCUCCAUAUUCACAUCAGUUUAUGUAGUAUGAUUAAUUUAGCAACAAAAUAUAACUUUACUUGAAAUCGCUUUAAAUUCCUAUGAUAUUAAAGUCUACGAUUAAAACAAUGUAACAUUAGCUAAAAAGAUUAAGAUCUAUAAUGUAACAUAUAAAAUUUAGAAAAUUCAAGGAAGGGUAAACUCGCACCUUUUCUACCCAGAAGAGUGGCUCAAGUUCACAUUCCAAACUUAUUUGUUGAAAGAGUAUCUCCACUUUAUCACAAUUGUGCACUACCAAUUGUUUCAAAAAUGGCCAACUUGGACUAAACCUUCCAGAGCAAAAUCUUUUGAGAUGGUGUAAACCACGGAGUGCUGCUUCAUCUUCAUUUUCAUUGGCAACAAUUGCCUCCGCUUCACUCCCCAAUAUAUGUAGGUCCUCAAGUUGCACAAGAGCACUCGCCACAGAAAGCGAAAAAAGAUUUAGCAAAUUGUUGCAUCCACUUACUUGCAAUUUCCUUAAUUUGGAAAAUGAAUUUGCUGGAAGUUGGCUAGGCCGCAAUGCUCUUAUAUUAUCCAGUGUGCCUACAAAUAAGGACUCCAAGCUGGGAGUGCAACCUGUGCAAUUGAUGAUCCCUUUAGUUAAUAAUAUAUACAUAUACAUUCCUAAUAAUUAGACACAUGUAAAUAGAAAAUAAGAGGUUAAAGGAUAAUAUAUCAGUAUAACAAAGCACAAAAUUUAAACUAGAUUGAAGAAGAUCAAGAAAGAGAAAAGAAAAGAAAAGAAAAGAAAAGGCCUCCUGAUUUUGAAGAUCCAAUGAAACUUUUAAAAAAAAAAAAAAAAAAAACCUCCAAAUUUUGCUUUCCAAAUGAGGUAAUAAGAGGAUUUUUUUUUUAAACUUUUAUAUAAGAUACAAGAACUCUUAGAGGGUUACAUUAUGUAAGUAAUACUUUAAAAAAUUUGUGAUAUCCAAAAAAAAUUUUAAAAAUUAUUUUUAAAGAAAGGUAAAUCUAUACUUUUUGUAUAAGAUGUUCUACCUUUAUAUACAAAUUUCUGAUUUUUUUUUUAAAGUGUAUCCAAAUGGACACUAAACUAUCUAGUUUCAAAUUUUUACAACUUUGAAUUGGAUUUUAUGGUAAACUAAUUUACAAUAUAAUACAUGGAUUCAUCUUAGAUUCCAUCUAUAAAUUUUUUAAUUAUCUAAUAUAAGACAUUAUAUUAAUGGGUUGAAUUAAUAAUGUAAUUACAAUUUAUUUGGCAACUUUCUUCCUUCAAAUAUAUAAAACGAAAAUAAAUUUUAAAAAGUAAAAAAAAUGAAAAAAAUAAAAAAUAAAAAAGCUUAUUUUAUAGUUUUUCUAAGAUGAUUUUGUAGAGUGUUAGUUUAUAGUUUUAACUUUAUUUCAUUUUACUUUUAACUUUAUUUAUUGAGAUAUGUUCUUUUUUGAAACUCUUGUUUAGAUUUUAUAGAGAAUAUAAAUUUUAAGAAAAAAAAUGAAAUUUAAAUAAGAUAAGAAUAAAGAAACGCAAAAGGUGGAUGGAUUUUUUUAAGGCAAAAUUUUGAUAAUUGGCACUAUCAUGUAACAGGUGAAAAUUUUAAAUACUCAACAAAGGCUAGAGAAAUUUAAAUUAAAAGCUCGACAUGUACUUGUUCGAGCAAAAAGAGCAGUUGUUGAAUUUUGUUGUCAAGUUCACUUUUCUAACCUAUUUCUUGAAAUAGUAUCUCCACUUUAUCACAAUUGAACACUCUCAAUUCUUUUAAAAGUGGCCAUCUUGAAGUAAACCUUCCGAAGCAAAAUCUUUGGAGUUGGGGUAAAGUAUUGAGUGUGAGAGAGGUUAGUUUAGGGAAUAAGAAUAAAGAUGUUGCUUCAUCUUCAUUUUCAUUAGCAACAAUUGCCUCUAGUACUCCACAAGAGCAUAUCUGUAGGUCCUUAAGUUGCACAAGGACUUUCGCCACGAAAAGGGGAAAAACAUUCAGCAAUUCAUCACAGUAACUUACAUCCAAGCCCUUUAGUUUGGAAAAGGAAUUUGCUGGAAGUUGGUUGUGCCACAAUGCUUUCAGAUUAUCUAGACGACAUACACGCAAGGACUCCAAGGCAGGGAAUGCAGCCUAUGCAAUUGAUGAUCCAUUUGGUUAAUACAUUCUCAAUAACUAGACACAUAUAAAUAGAAUAUGAAAGGUGGAGGUGAAUAUGUCAACAUGAAAAAGCACAAAAUAAAUUCAUAAUUUUAUCUACAUAUUUUCUACAUAGGAAACUUUACUAUUAUGAGGGAUCUAAAACUACAUAUAAUACUUUGGCUUUGUUAUUUUUCAUUUAUACAUUCUAUAAUAUAAUUUUUAUUAACUCUAACUUUACAAAUCAUUUGAGUACCACUCACCUUUUGAAAAAUUAAUUUCAAAUCCUCUUUCAAGAAACUAAACUAGACUUCACAACAAGCAGCUUGAAACUCAUUUAGAAGGAAAGCUUAUUUUUAUUAAUUGUCUAAAACUAAUAGACUUCUCAUUAUAUAAUACUUUGGUUUUAGUAUUUUUCAUUUAUUCAUUCUCCAAUACAAUUUUACUAACUUAAAACAAGUAGAGCAUUUAUAUGUUGGAGUAAUAUGUAUAUGAUUAUUUUAUCCUAAUUUUUUAUUUAUUAAUUAAUUAUCAUUUUUAAAAGGUUUUAUUGACGUGAUUUGAUAAAUGGUCAUAUUAAUAAUAUUAGAACAUAAAAACAAACUAACUAUAUUUUAUCUGAUAUUUACCAAAAUAUUGAUUUACUAUCACAAAUUAUGUAAUUAAAAAUAUAAAAUAAAAUGUUGGUUUCAAUAACUCCAACCUCGCCAUUUUAUUAAUAUCUAUAUUUUGUUUAUCUUUUUCUUCUUCUACAUUUUGUUGGGUGAUAGUUAUUUUUGGGCUAUAAACAAAGUAUUUCAUAUUUUAAAACUUUAUAACUCUUAUAAUAAGUAUUUCAUUCAUUCCAAAAUCGAUUCUUCUCCCUUGCUAUUGGUUUAGAAUAUAAAAAUAAAUUUAUAAUUUUCUUUAAAUCAUAUUAGUAUCAAUUAUUCCUUUCAUGAAAAUAAAGAGAGUUUAAUAUUGAAAGAAAAUUAACAAAAAUAUUUAUGUUAAAAAUAGUUAAGCAAAAAAUUAUAUAAUAAAAAAGAAUGAAUUCAGCCUUCAAAGAGCAGAGUUUGUGGAAGAGAGCUGGAUUGUUUUUUUUUCUUUCUUUCAGGAAGAGAGGAGAGGAGAGGAGAGGAGAGGAGAGGAGAGGAGAGACAGAAAUCAGGAAAAUGGAAAAGGAGAGUGAUUACUGGUAAAGAAGAAGAAAUAGUUGAUAAAAAAGAGAAAAGGGUUACAGAGUGAAGAGAUUGAAGAAGCUUUGGAUUUUGGAAUUCAGUGAUCCCCAAAACGAAAAUAAGUAAAAGGCUUUCUGGCAAGAGGGAGAGACGGAGAGAAGGAAAAUGAAAAAAUGGGAAACAGCAGUGAGUAUUGGGUGAUAAAUCGACGAGGAAACGGUUGUUUUGGUGAAAGGAGAAAGGAGAGCAGCAAGCCACCUUCAGAUAUUGACUUUUGGGAAGGCAGAAUAGCAGAAUAGCAGAAUUGCAGAAUUGCAGAUUCCUGAAUGUGAAAAUAGUUUGGUUAGAAGGAAAGGGUGUUUUAUUAAUAAUCGGAAAACAAGUGAUGGCAUGCAUGGAAUCUUCUGAGUUCUUGCUUUUUGGACUUUCGCCACCUAACCUCAGACUCGCUC
rnacentral:lncRNA from 1 species